CAAAAACUCAACCUCCCACCGGGUCCAAGGCAAUGGCCUAUAAUUGGAAACUUAAACCUCAUUGGCACCCUUCCUCAUCGUUCACUCCAUCAACUCUCCCUAACAUAUGGUCCCCUAAUGCACCUUCAAUUCGGCUCCUUCCCAGUUGUCGUUGGCUCCUCCGUGGAGAUGGCCAAAGUUUUCCUCAAAACCAUGGACGGCACAUUUGCAGGGAGGCCUAAAACUGCAGCCGGAAAAUAUACCGCUUAUGAUUGCACCAACAUGACUUGGUCCCCUUACGGACCAUACUGGCGCCAGGCACGUAAGAUUUUCCUUACGGAAUUAUUCAGUGCAAAAAGACUCGAAUCAUAUGAACAUAUUCGGGUGGAAGAAAUGAAUUCGCUUCUGCUACAGCUAUUCAAGUCAUCAGGCAAGCCUGUCGUGUUGAAAGAUUAUCUUUCAACAGGAAGUUUGAACGUGAUUAGCAGGAUGGUCCUGGGGAAAACAUACAUUGAUGAGUCUGAGAACUCAAUUGUCACGCCCGAAGAAUUCAGGCAAAUGAUGGACGAGGUGUUUUUGCUGACUGGUGUGUUUAACAUUGGUGAUUUCAUACCUUGGAUCGAUUUCUUGGAUUUGCAGGGGUAUAUCAAGAGGAUGAAAAUCUUGAGCAAGAAAGUUGAUAGGUUUCUGGAGCAUGUUCUCGAUGAACAUAAUGCCCGGAGGAAGGACGAAACUGAUUGUGUCAGCAAGGACAUGGCGGACGUCCUUCUGGACCUUGCAGAUGAUCCCACUUUGGAGGUGAAGCUAGAGAGGCGUGGAGUCAAGGCAUUGACUCUGGUAUAUGUUACUUACAAACUGCAUAACGCAUGCUGUCAACUUUUAAACGACUGAAAACUUGAGAGAAAAUAGUCAGUGAUCUUUUGAACUUGAGAGAAAUCUUUUUAACUAAUUUUUUAAAAUUACGUUUUCAUUCAGAUAUCACAUUCGGAACAUUGAAACAUAAAUAAGUUUAAGAACUUCAAUGAUUGGACUAAGUUUCUUGCUGCACUUUGCGUAAUGAUUGAACUCUAGGACCUACUUGCUGGUGGAACCGAGACCUCAGCGACUACAAUAGAAUGGGCCAUUUCGGAGCUACUGAAAAACCCAGAAAUAUUCAACAAGGCAGCCGAAGAACUCGACCGUGUUAUCGGUCAGAAUCGAUGGGUGAACGAGAAGGACAUGCCAAAUCUUCCUUACAUAGAGGCUGUUAUUAAAGAAACAAUGCGUAUGCAUCCCGUGGUCCCAUUGCUAGUGCCAAGAUGUGCUCGCGAAGAUUGCAAAGUUGCAGGGUACGAUAUUCAAAGGGGAACUCGAGUCAUCGUCAACGUUUGGUCAAUUGUGAGGGACCCUGAAUUGUGGGAGAAGCCAGAGGUAUUUUGCCCCGACAGAUUCAUGGGAAAGGACAUUGACUUCAAAGGGCAAGACUGUAAGUUCUUGCCAUUUGGUGCUGGAAGAAGAAUGUGCCCAGGGUAUAGUUUAGGCCUCAAGGUUAUCCAAUCUAGUUUGGCCAAUCUUUUACAUGGAUACAGAUGGAAGUUGCCAAAUGACAUGAAACCUGAGGACCUGGACAUGGAAGAAAGAUUCGGCAUUACUACACCAAGAAAAAUCCCACUUGUUGCCAUUGUUGAGCCUCGGCUUCCUCGUAAUCUUUAUUGACUAUGAUUCACUACGUGUAUGUUUGAUCUCCCAGUAUCAUCAUUAUCAACUUGUGUUCAAAUAAAUCAGCUCUGCAAGUUUAGAAUUUGUAGCUGCGCUUAUAUGUGUUUGCCAAUUGCCACAACGCUACAAAACCCUUGUAGUUGGUGCAUGGCAUAUACGUAAUCACUGAGAUUGUUAUGCGUAUUGAAGUCCAAAUUUGUUCGCAAUUAUGUGAAACUGUGAAUAGGCACACCCCUGAUGUUUCAAAUACAUUCUAUAACACUCUGAUGCUAAUUUAAAUCUGCAAUAGUAGGUUCACAGUCAAAGCAAUGUGCUCUCUGCCAUCUUUCCUCUUAGCAUCUUCCAUCAAUUCCUGUGCACCUCUAAGCCAUGCCACUGGAUUGGUGCUACUUUCCGUACUUGUUGGGAGGAAGAGAGAAAGAGAGAGAGAAAAAAAAAAAGGGCAAAUUACAUUUUAGCCCCCUGUGGUUUUCGAAAAAACCACAUAACCCCCCAUCGUUCAAAAAGCUAUACAUAAACCCCCUGUGGUUUGGGUUGAACUGGCAAAUAGACGGAAAGCAUCCACCGUAACGAUUCGUGGGCAAAACGCGCCUGUUCUUCUGGUAGCAGUAGGAAACAUACCCAUAUUACCCCUGACCAAUUUGACGUACCCAAUAAAGCCUAGAUGGGUGCUCCUCAUCUCUUUCCAUCUUCCGAAAUACUUUGUAGCUGACUUUGCACUGAAUGUUGGUGAAGGAACCCAAGAUAGAGAACGAAGGAAAUCUGAAGGUGAGUUCUAACAUCAAGGUGCAGUCUUUUCCUUUUCCUGAAAUAUGACUUGAAUGGAUUAUUAAUUUUUUUUCAAUAAACUAUAGAUGUCAUGCUCAAGCAGUGCUGGUGGAAGUACUGAAGAUCUAAGGUACCAAUACCUAUUUUGUUCAUGUGGGAGAAAAGCAGCGGUAAAAAUUGUUGAAUCUGACAAACCUUCAAAAGGAAAGCUAUAUUUUGUUUGUGCGACAAGAAGUUGUGAAUUUUUCUCAUGGUGCAAUCCAACAAGGAGAAUAAGACAAAAUUACACUAGUGAUUUGAAUGUUACAAGGAGAGACAUAUUUAGUGGAGAAUCAAGUAUUGAUAGUUCAGAAGUGGAAGGCUUGCGCAUGGAUGGUGGUUUAUAUUUGAGGAAAAUGAAAAACAUUGAAGAAAGCUUAGGAGCCAUGAAGAUUUGCGUGGGUGCUUGUUUUGCUAUAUCUGUGCUAUCAUUUCUCAUUUUGAUGUUUAAGUGAAAAUAAUUCAGAUGAAUUGUGGCUCUAAAAGUGUUGUAAAUCUGAACCUGUUGUGUUCAAUGAAUGAAUGAAUGAAUCUGCUUUGGUAGUCAAUUGAUAUAAUAGGCAAACAUGAUUUCCAGUUGGUAUGAACCUGCUUUGGUACUCACAGGCUGAACUUGGUACUCAUCGAGACAGCAUAGCCAAAAAGCACAUACAUGAGCUAUCCAAAGUGGACAUUUGCAAUGGUUUAAAGCAAAAGAAAGUAUCUCAAUUAAUUUAAGGGAUAAUUUCAGAAACCUCCCCUGAGAGUUGGACGGGUAACUAGUGUGUCAGAGAGUUGCCAUAAUCUCCUUAAACCCGCAUGCGGGUUUAAAGAGUAUUCGGAUAUUCUCAUAUGCACCUAUGCAAAUCGAACCAACCGGAUAUCUUAUCCGUAUCCCAUUUUUUUAAAUAAAAAUCUUAUAAAUUUGAAAAAUAAAAUCAAAUUUAGAUGUAUUAGGGUUUUAAAAAUAUUAUAUAAGUGAUAAAAAUUUUAUAAAUUGUAAAAAUAAAAUCAAAUUUAAAUAAUUAAAUGUUAUAUUUGCAUAAGAAAUAAUACAAUAAUCAUAAUAAUGAUAAUAUAAUAAUAUUGGUGUAAUAAAACUGCCAUUAAUUUAAAUAUUUACUUAUAAUGCCCAAAGAGUCUAAUUACCAAUUUUUUCUUCUCGCGCUCAAAUAUAACAUUAACCCGCAUGCGAGCUAACCUUGAAAUAGAAAAAACACAGAAUCCCGCUUGCGGGUUUCAGUGUUAUUAUGCAGGCGGGAUUUUAACCUGCUUGCUUGUAAACAUGUACCACAUUGCUCUGAAAUUAUCCCUUAAUUUAACUACCAUUAUAGCUAUGCGGCAAGAGUUCAAGUAUAGACAAAUAAGGAGCAGUAAAGGUUCAGACUAAGUUCUAAAGCAAAAAAGCACACAUCAAAAGCCAAUUUCCAAGAUGCCUCAAGCAUGGAACCAAAUUCUGAAGCAUUGAACCAAGCAUUGAACCAAAUUCGUAUGACUUACUUAACAUGGGCUCACACCACUGAACUUUGGAUUCAUUUGACAAUAUAGCUGUCCAGAAGUUCAUAACCAAUUUUUACAAAACAAAAUAAGGUACAUAAGUAGCUAAUCAUUAAGUCCAGCAGACACCAAGAUUCAACAAAAAGUGUAGCAACAACAUAUUAACAGUAGACACCAAGAUUCAACAGAAAGUGUAGCAACAACAUAUUAAAAAAAAGCAUUUGCAGACAAAUAACUUAAUUGAAUUACAAACACGUUUAGCCCUCUUAGUCCUCACAUUCUAGAAACACGUUUAGCUUUCUUAGCCCUCAAAUUUUCCAACACACUUGCAACUGUUGGUACAAGUUUUCUGACUCUAGUUGAUCUUCUAGUAUCCAAAAUGGGUUCAACAGCAGAAGCAGUUCUUGUAGUAUCCAAAACAGGUUCAACAGGUUCAUCAGUUGGUCUUCUAGUGUCCAAAACAGGUUCAACAGGUUCAUCAGUUGGUCUUCUAGUUUCAAAAACUGGUUUAGCAGCAGAAGUUUCACAAGGCUGCAUAAAUAGAUAGGUUUAAGUCAGUUAAAUGCAGUAAUUGCAGUAAUAACCAUCAUCAUUAAUAGUACCUGUGACACUGAACCCUGUUGUGAGACAGAUCCAAUACUUGUAUUUCCAGCAUUUACAACAUCUUCACCUGCAUUUCCAGCAUCACUAGCUCCAGCAGGCACCUAUUUUAAUGGUAACACAUAAGGUAACAAAUUAAGUACAUAUGACACUGAUUACAAAUUAACUACUACUUACCUUAUAAAACUUGGACUUUGGAUGGAUUGGGAAUUUACAAGUCCUAGAAUUAUGUCCUGGCCUAAAACACUUCUUACAGUGCACAACAAGUCCUUUUCUUGUAGAUGUGGUGCCUCUAACUUCAUCAGCUUCUCUUCUUCUCACUUUCUUGGGUCUUCCAGGUUGCUUUCUAAUCUUUGGGGGAUUCACCUUUUCAGCUCCUUUUGAAUCGCAAUAGUCUUCAGAGGGCAUUGCAGCUAUAGUGUAGUUAUAGGUGCUCAAGUAUGCUUCUUUGCUAUAACAAGGAUCAACAUAGUGUUCAGGCUCUGAUUUAUCCCUUUGAAUGGCAGCAAUAGAAUGUGAGCAUGGAAUCCCACUUAGUUGCCAUGAUCCACAUGUGCAUGUUCUACGACUUAUAUCAACAACAUAUACUCUAGUCCCACAAUCCACUUCAUACUCAGCAUCCCGAGAAUAAUGAGCUAUGCAGAACCUACUAUUUAGCUUGUUCCUCUCAAGUCGUUCUUGUAUGUUUGGACAAAGGUUCCCUUCAUACUGUUGCAUGCCUUCCCUUUUCACAUUUAGCCUCUGCAUGAGUUUUCUUCUUAUCCACUCAAACAUGGAGAUGAUUGUGAACUCUCUUGCUGGAAGUAUGUAGGAAUUAAAUGACUCAUUCAAAUUAUUAACAAGAAUAUCACUCUUGCAUGAGGAGCUGAAAUGUGACCUGGACCAUAAAUGUGCAGGAAUCCUGUUUAACCAACCAGCUGCAUUCAUAGCUUCUCCCACCUUUGGAUCAGCCCUUUCCAAUUCAGCCAUUGCUAUCUUGAAGUCACGAAUGUUCCCAGCAGACGCAGCUGCCCAAAAGUACUCCUUCAACUCCUUUCCCUUGAACUUCUGUUUGAAAUUUUGAUAUAUAUGACGAAGGCAGUACCUAUGCUCUGAUUCAGGAAACACAUCAUCAAUUGCACUGACUAAUCCUUUUUGCCUAUCAGAUAUGAAUGUCCAUGGAGCUCCAUUUUCAGCACCAACUUCAAUUUUCAACUCCAUCAAAAACCAUUUCCAUGAGUCAUAUCUCUCGGCUUCCACUACAGCCAUUGCAAUGGGAAACAUGUUAUCAUUGCCAUCCCUACCCAUAGCUGUCAAAAGUUGUCCACCAAAUGGACUUUUUAAAAAGCAGCCAUCUAAUCCAAUUAUUCGUCGACAACCAGCUAGAAACCCAUUCUUCAUUGCACUUAAACUCCAAUACAUUCUUUCAAAUAUCCCAACCUCGUUCUCAUCCAGUCUAGUCACUUGCAGGACAAUAUGGCUACCAGGAUUCCGGAUCAACAAGGUAGCAGCAUAAUCUCUGAUGACAUUAUACUGUCUUAUAUCAUCCCCUUGUAGUGCCUCUCUUGCCAAUCUUUUAGCUCUAUAAGCCUGUCUCAUGCUUAUGUCCACCAUAAUCUCUCUCCUCACAGUCAUGACAAAUCCUUCAAUAGAAGAACUUGGUUCAUCUCUGAACCUGUCUAAAUAUUUUUUGCUCAAAUAUCUUGCAUUUGCAUGAUGAUUGCUGUAUUCUCUUCCACACACAUGCACUCCCUUUAUUGAUUUGAUCUGAAAGGUGCUUUCAUUUUGAAUUGGGCUUGCCCGUAUUUUCCAAGAACAACCCUUUUUGCACAUGGCAAUAACUUUUGCUCUUUCAUUUUUUUUGUACUUCAUGGUGUAGCCUUCCCUGACAUUCCAUUCCACAAGUGCUUCUCUAAAGGCCCGUAAGUUCUUAAAUUUAUCCCCAACUUUCAACUCAAAAUCUGACUUUCUGAAUUCAACUGCAGCAUUAAAAUCUCGACAACUAUUACCUUUCCCAUUUCUUUCAUCAUCUCCUCACAUAGUGUCAAGCAGUUCUUCAUCAUCAAUAGCAAAUUCAUUCCACUCUUCAUUAGUUUUAGAACUCUCCCCUUCUUCAAAUUUGUUCUUAGAAGAGCCUGGUGUUUGCAGAUCCUCCAUUGUAUAUGUCUGGUUCGCUGUUGUUGGUUCUUCAUCUGUGCCUUUUGCCUGCUGCUGAUUUUCUAUUUCAUUAGCCUUUGCUCUGUUUGCAAAAAUAUCCUCAUCUUCUGGUCCUUCUAAUCCCUCUUUCAACCACUCAGGCUCUUCUAAACUAUCAGAUGUAGCAUCACCGUACUCAUCUUCAUUUUCAGGCUGUUUUUCAACUUCAUCUUGCUUUUCUACAGCUUUUUCACCUUUUUCCUUUGCUGAAUUAGACUCUGCUUUGCUGUGCUUUUUGUUUCCAGUUAGCUUGGUCUGUCUUCUCACUGACUUCUUGACUAUCUGUUUCCCCUUUUUGUUUGCUAACUUUUUUGGGGUAUCUUUAUCAGAUGCCACAUUUUGUGCUCCACUAUGUGGGGCAUCAGUGGGGGCACUUUUACCAUGACUUUUUACUCCAACUGAAGCAAUUUCACUAGGCAUUUCAUCACGCAAUUCAGCAUAUAUGUUGAUAACAUCUACUCCUUCAUGUGCAGUUAACAUUAAUUCUAUUUCUUUAUCUCCUUUAAUUUCAGCUGCUCCAACAUACAACCCACAAUUUGGUAUUUCAAAAUAUAGGUUCACAUUCGAGGCAUCACCAUACCUACUAUACAAUUUACACAACAUAUCCCUGGACAAUUUUCUUGUCUCACAAUUUUUAAAUAUGGCUACAUUGUUACCAGUAUAGACAGUUUCUGGUUCCCAUAUGAAUAUACCACCGAAAUGCAAUUUUAUAGUAAUUCUUUUUGAAGUUGUCAUUUUUUUCAAAGCCUGCAUUAGAAAUAGUGAAACACAUGAUAAGAAAAAAAAAACACAAUCUGAUUAAGAAAAGGACAUUUAAUAGAUUACACACUUCAAUGAAAACACAUGAUUACAAAAAAAUACAAUCUGAUUAAGAAAAGGACAUAUUGCAUAUCGCAUACUUCCAUGGACCACAUGACGGCCAAUAAGCCGACAAGCAAAAAUUAUUCAAUGUCCAAAUUGUCAAAACUUUAUCAGCAGCCAAAUCACUCUAUAUUAUUGAAAAUCAAGCCACCCACAUUUGACCCAAAUCUGACACUAAUCAACAAAUCUCAAACUAACAAAGUCGUAUUCUACCCAUGUUUAGUUGAAAUUCCGGUGAUUUUAGAACUCCCGAAUGCAAUUUUCUUUACCCUAAUCUUAAUGCAUAAAUUCAAUUCUAGUCGAUAAAAUACUCUAUGCUUAAAUAUGAUAAUACAGAUUGUCCCAAAGCAGCAAAAUUUUAAAUUAAUCAACGCUUAAGCAAAAUAAUCACUGAUUUAUUAACUUUCCAAUGCCCGCUAGUUUCUGUUCAAAAACCAUGCAAGUGCAUCUUAUAUGCUAAAAUGAUGUCAAAAAACUUACCAGAUGCAAUAACAGCUUUCGUGAUGCUUUUUCACAGCUACUUUUUGGUCUUCAAUGGUAGAUCUUUGUGGGUUAAAUUUCUCUCCUUCAUUCGGUGGUCAUGUUUUUCUCUCCUUUUCUCACGACAAAGACAGAACAAGGAAGAAUCUGACUCAUCUGCUUCCUUUUUGUAUUUAUAUUAGGGUAAUUUGGACAUUUUGCCCACGAAUCGUUACGGUGGGUGCUUUCCGUCUAUUUGCCAGUUCAACCCAAACCACAGGGGGUUUAUGUAUAGCUUUUUGAACGAUGGGGGGGUUAUGUGGUUUUUGCGAAAACCACAUGGGGCUAAAAUGUAAUUUGCCCAAAAAAAAAAAGAGCAGAGGGUGAGGUGGCUGCGGCAGUGGUGGUAUGGGAAGGGAGGGAAGAGGAAGAGCAGCAGUGGUGUGGUGUGGUGCGGGGAGAAAGAAGAAGAAGAGAGGAAAGAAAAGAAAAAGAAAAAAAAGGAAAAAAAAAACCAAGAUUUGGAAUUUUUUCAAACCUUCAAAUGCACAAAAGUUUUCUUACAAAUUUAUAAUAGUAACACUAACACAUAUAAAAUAGCAAUCAUUUUGGAAACAAACCCUUAGAUUUAUUAUAAUAUCACUUAGCUUAUCUAAAAUUUUUAAAAUUUUACUUUCUUCCCCUGCCAACUUGGGAAGAUCAAAUGUUCCUAUCAAAGGUCACAAAUUUACAACAAUUAUGGUUGCACUCUUUAUGACUAUUUAACUGAAAAACCGAAACAAGAAGAGAGUUUUUAAAAGACCAAAAACUAUAGAUGAAAAAGAUAACCAAAUUGCUAUCCAAUAUUGGUCGAUAUUUCUUUGUAUCAAUGUGGUGGUGGAAUAGUAAAAGACAUGGGUAAAUUAAAUUCUAGUUAAAGACAUGGGUAAUUUUUGUAGAAUAGUUAUGAGGAAAUCAAGAAAUUCUUUUAGAAAAUAUGUUCUAAUAUAGGAUAUAAUUUAAGUUAUACUAAAAAUUAAAAUAACCUCUUCAUACAUGUGGUUUGUAAUAUAAAUCCUACUUAUAGAAAAAAAUUAUAUAAAUAAGUCAGAAUUUAAAAAAUUAGUCAAAAAUGUUCUAAUGACCAAAUAUAUAUCUAGGAAUAUUCUUUUUUUUGUUAGAACAUGAUUUGUUAUACAAGGUAAUAGUUAUUGUACAUCUACAAAAUUAUUCAUUAUUGCAUUUAUAGUUGAUCGUAUUUUCAACUUUUUACUUUUCAACUUUAUUUUAUUUUUUAUUGUUGUUGUACGCUUAAUAAGUAGGAUAGCAUAAGAGUAAUAUUAGAACAAAAAUUUUAUCUUUCUUGCAUUUCCUUCAAAGGGGCUAAAAUGUAUGAAAAAUAUGAAUCCAAGAGAGGUAUGUGAGAUUUUAAAAAUUGAAAGAGUUCUAAGUGAUAUUAUGAGAAAUGUCAUGCGAGGUUUCUGAAAUUAUCCCAAAAAAAUCAUCCAAAUGAACCUUCUUGUUGUUGCAAAAUCUUUGCUUCGGAAUCCUAGUGCCAUAUUUCCAUCUUCUUUAACUCUCCAUCUCUCCACCAAAAAAAAAAAAGAAAAAAAAGAAGCAAUUUUGGUAGCGAGCUACUUUGAAUAAGAUCGUGAAAUAAUUGCAUGUAGAAAUUUGACAAGAAGUGAAAGCAAUCAAAUUUACAAUAUGCCAACAUAUAUUUUUAUAUGAACACGUAUUCUAGUAUUCCAUGAGCCAUUUUGUCUUGCCUUUCGUUCUGCUAGGAAAUGGCCAAAUCCUCCUAAUAUUUACUUCCCAAAAAAAUCCGCCAAAUAUGGCUUUGUCGGCCAUGUCGCACGACGGGGAGGUCCAGAAUAUAUUUUUUAAAAAAAAUGGCAGAGGGUCGUCGCGCCCUGGCUUUUUUUACCACACUGUCGCGCCAACGUGAUGAAACGAACCUGGCAGCUAUGCGACGAGCCUUUUUUUUUUUUCAAAUGUUUUGUAAAAAAUGUGUAGGUUCCGUUAAGUUUUUUUUUUUUUUUUUUUUUUUUGAUAAGGUGGCUUUGGUUUCUUAAGUUUUAGCAUGUUUAGGAUUUACAAUUUAUUAUUUAGGGUUUAGGAGUUGUUAAGUUUGUCGAUAAAAGGGUUUGGAUAUGGCCAUUGUAGUUAAUAAAGGAUUUAUUAAAUGAAAUGUAAUUGUAUUGAAGAAAAAAAUGAGUACAUGAAUCGCAGUUUUUGUAUUUUAGAAUUUAUAUAAAAUGCAAUAGUAUAAAAAAAUUAAUAAUAUAUUGAAAAAUUAAUAGUUAUUUAUAGAAUGCACACAUAAUGAAAGUACUUUUAUAGGUCGUUAUUUGGUAUACAAUGGUACUUGAUACUUAUAUUAAAUGAUUAAACCAGUUAAAGUGGUCAUAAAUUGACUUGUACCUCUACGUUUAAUAAAUUAAUGGAUCCUUUUAUCCAAUUAUAGAAUUUCAUCAAAUAAUUUGUACUUUUGUAUUUUGAAAAUAUGUAACGUUAUUAAACUUUAAAAUAAUUAAACAGGAAAAGUAGGACAAUUAAUUAAAUGUCAAGAUAGUAUGCAGUAUAUUGAAUGGAUGGGAUUUAAAUCUAAGUAGAAGACCGGACAAUAUCAACACUUCGGGGUUUCUUGUCUUUAUCCCUGUCUUUGGGCCUUCUUACAAGGUGUGGUGGGGGAAUAACAAUGCCUAGUAGGGGCGACGGUCCUUUGCCUUCUUUAAAAGAGAAGAAAAAUCUGGAUCGCCUGACGCUUCUAUAUGGCACAACGGGCAUGCUUUAAUACACAACUUACACAUAGUUAUAUUUGGCGGAUUUUUUUGGGAAGUAACAAAUAAUAUUCUGAGGAUUUGCCUUGGGGUAAAAGUUGCUUGUAAUUGUUAGUCUAGCUACUUGACUUCAAUAUUGAAGAUUGUCCGGCACAUAAAAUCCCAAGUCGUAGUCUCCAAGAUAUAUGUAUGAAGUGACGACGAGGUUGUUGAUAAAUCCAUUUAUGACAGCACCAUGUGCAACUCAUGAUAAUUAAAUGUAAUUUUAUUUAAAAAAUACAGAUGAAUUUUAUUAUGUUGCAGGCUAUCUUAUCGACAAAAAAAAAAAAAAAUCUCCAUUUGGCCAAAAAUCAUAAACCCAUGGGCCAAAAAAUUGGUAAACAAGUUGAGUACUACGCUUUGCAUCUUUCUCUGUAAUCAUUUUCACGAGUUUGUCGUGUAGCGUGAUAUUAUUGCGAAAGAAAGUGUUCUCUAUUAUGACAGGACCAUGUGCAACUCCUGUCAGACUCAGGAGCUUCCACCUUUCCGACUGGAUGUGUCGGCCGAAGGAAAUCACACGUCAAAUUUCAUUUGAUUUGUGGAUGGAAGGCUAUGGAAGCUGUAGGCCCCGAAGCAAAAUUAAUUGGUCCACAAGAAUUGCCAAAUUAGUUUUCUUUUUCCAAAUUCAGUUAUGCGAGUAAAUGAAAGCUUUUACAACCAUUAGUUCUUUUAAAAUGUUUUAAAGCGUAACUGCAUGCACACAUUCUAUAUUCUUUUGUCUCUUUUUCAGUUUUUAUACUCCAUCUAGGAUGUCUAAUCAUUAUUUCGUAAAAAAGGAAAAAAAAACUAUGUAUAUUUUUUCUUUAUAAUUAGUCAAUUACAAAUUGGUAAAGUUCUAAUCAAUUUCAUCCAUUAUCUAACUUGCAAGAAAGGAAAAGAUAUCUCCUAAAUACAAAGUUCAAAAGGAGUUUCUAGCCUUUUAUAAUCACGUUCACAUGAUGUUUCGGUGGAUAUCCAUUUACCCAUUUUCCGUUAAAGAAAUUUACUUAUUACAAUCUUUUUCUUUACACUCCUCUAAAAUAGUAUGGAAUAUUAUCAUAAUUCUUCACAUGUCAUUAUUAAACCGAGGGUUAAGGUUUGUUGGAAAGUAAUCAAUAAAUAGUAUAUGAGUUAAUUAUUCUUAAUAACUUUCAAAGUAUGUUUUAUGUUUAGUGUCUUACAUUCAUUAAAUUUAUUGUUUUGGUUCAUUUAUAUCCAUGUUUUUUUGGAAAAUUAAAGUUUGAAGCUAAAAAGAAGUUAAUGCAAAUGCACGGCUGAAUAACUAGUGGUCUAAUUCUAUUGCUUGCUUAUCCACAAGAACGACCACGCCAACACUACUACAUUAAUACACUCAUACUUUUGCAUUUCUUAAUUACUUGCAUUACUUAUUCUUUCUUCCCAACAAUUCUACAGCCCAUAAUCAUCAUUCCAAUUUUAAUUCAGUAAUCUUCAUACAGCUCUGAACAUAUAACUAUAUUUAAUAUAAAUUCGUGUCAUUCCUGCAUUUCAAUUCUCAAAAUCUUAUUGCAUGCCUUACUUUAUAAUGGUGUUUAAUUACUUAAGUUCAUAAACAAUCAUUAGUAUCAAAAUCAUAAACUUGUAUCGCACAAUAGGAUGCUCUUCGCAUCAUUAUCAGAAGUUUAGCAAUUAAUCUUCGUCAUGUCACAAGUAAUUUCAAUUUCGCAGCUAGGGGUGAAAUUGCAAAGCAUUUGGUUAAUCGGAUGUUCGAACAAAUUUAAUUAAUUAAAUUUAAUAUGAAUUCAGUUCGGUCAAAUAGAUUUUGAUAUGGCCUUGGUAAAAACAAAAUUAUGAGAGUGCUUAAUUAGUUUGAAAGUAACUCGGAAUUCUAGAUUUUUUAUUUUAAUUGAUAUAGCACGCGUACACAUACUAUGUUACACAUGUUCACUCCACGUUGUUGUGGAUAUUGAAUAUUCUUAAUUACUAUUAUCUUUUAUUCUUUUUUUUUUCCAUCAUCUCUUCACUUUCCUUCUUUCUUUUUCUUGAUCACUUGCAUUUUGUGGAAUUAUUUUUCAUAUUUCCAAUAGUUUGCUUUACUUGCUUUUCCAUAUUUGUAAUUAUUUUCGUUAAUAUUGUGACAGCCCCACCUUCCCCUAAGGCGAACCAAAGGGUUUAGCGGACUGCCAGCCCAACUCUCGCUGGGACUCAGUCAGUCAUUUCAAGAAAAGACGAUAAAAUCCACAAAACAAUUGAAAUAACAAUAAUUCCAAACUUAAACGUAAACUUAUAUAUAUUUCUAUCUCAAAAGCAACACAACUCAAGUACAAAGGUUCUCCUUUCUCCAUACAACCAGCCCGCCAACCGCUAGGACAAGAACCAUUACAAAAGAAAUAUCAAAACUAGACCAAACUAGUCUAUACGGAGCUCUCGUCCUUGCGCGCCUUCCCCUGUUAAGGAAAACAACUAAAGGGAUAAGCUAAAAGCUCAGUGAGGUUCUGAACACAUAAACAAACAAUAAACUCAAAGCAUAGAACACCAAUAAUUCAAGUAACAUUUACAAUAUAAAGCGGUAACAUAUUCAUUAAAGGAUACGUGCUCACAAGGAGCCAUUCAUUCAUUCGUUCAUUCAUUCAUUCUCCUUUCAUUCCUUUAUUCCUCCAAUCAUUUGAAAAUGCAUCUUUGUAAGUAAAAACCCUCGUUCAUUCAUUCGUUCAUUCAUUUCAUUCACUCCCUUCCCGGACAUUGACCAGGCUCCACCAAACUUCAAGGUAAUACUCGAGUAUACCAAACGUUCACCCAAGUCACCAAAUCGCCAGACCGAGUUCGCUUCUGGCUCGAGUCGAUCGGUAACAAGGGGCAAGGCCCAGUUCAGCCAGAAGGCUUACAUUCAUGCACAAGUAACACUUCAAUCGUUCCAUCAUUGAAAACUUCACAAUCAUUUAGGCCGAGUGCGAUGAAGUACACACUCGCCUAAAAACUUGUUUUAGCAAUCAUUGAAAGCAUUUAACAUGUUAUCAAUUAUUCAGACAAGCCAUAUAAUCAAGAAAUAUAACAAACAAGGAACACUCACCUAGUUAUGCAAAAUAACGUCCAAAAUAUCCUACCGGGUAUUACCCUCAGUUACCAAUGAAACUUAAAAUUAAACAAGAGAAACUAUUACAGUUUAUCUAGCAAAACAAUUAAGGGAAAUUGAAGGAACCUGACUAAUUACGAAUACAACAUAUAAAGAUGACUUUCAAGUGAAAAGAGAGCAUUUGGAUUCCGUGGACGGGAAUAAUUAGGGUUUCAUAAACCAAACGAGAAACUAAACUCAAAAGAGUUAUAAAAGUUCCAACGGAAAACACUUGGACCAAAUACAAGUCGGAAUCCAACUAGAUAGGCUAAGAAAUAUUGUUUUCAGAAUCGCUUAUGUGGUUCAAAAUCAACUCAUAUUUGAGUAGAUAUUAGUUUUCAAAUAUCUCAAUGAAAAUCAUGUAAAAAGGAAGACACUAAAAGCCUUACUUUGAAAGUAGUUUCCCGUAACCAAGAAAACCCCAAUUCAUACCUCUUUAUUUUGGUAAACAGUAAGUAAACGUUGGAAGUGUCAAACUGGAGAGGUAUUAUAUUUUAGAAUGGUAAAAUGGUCAUGAUAUUCAUUAAGCAGAAAUAUAGGAGUUCAAAUAGAAAAUAGCUUCUCGAACACCCUUCGAGAGCACAAAUGUAGUUUUCAAAGAAGUACAUUCAAUUUGACACAAAAAUUACAUUUUCACAUUCACUGGAACUUACUCACAAUUCACGAAAGUAAACGGACGGCAUUUCCCCUUAAAUUCUUUAUUUCACCUUACAAUCAAAAUACCCAACCUUACAAGAAUUAACCACAAUCACAAAUUCGGUUUAUAAACAAUAAAACACAUCCAAUUGGGUCACAAUAUCCCUCAAUUAAAGCCAAUUAGAAGUUCAAAAGCCAACUAUUAGAAAACCCCCAAUUUAAACCCUAGAAACCGGAAUUUAUCCCAACAAGCGUAAAUUUUCCGCAAACGAUUGUAAUUAACGAAUAAAGUUGCAAUUAACACCAUUUAGAGCUAUCAAAUCAAAGCCAAUCCAUGACUAUUAUAUAAAAUCGGAAAAAUCCCCAAUAAAUCAGAAAAUGGCCCAACUUGACCUAAAACCAUGAAAUCAUCCACAAUAUAACAAUCUUAACCACUAGAAACGACCAUGAUAUCAUUAUUAAGAUCAAGGAGAAAGUUCCUUAGCAUCUCACCUUAAUCCCAAGAAAGAUAGCACCUUAAAGCUUUUCCCUUCAAAAUCACUCCACCAAGAGUUUUAAUCCCUCUUAACUAACACUUGUACGGAGUAGAAUAAAAAUCUAUCGGUGAAAUCUCAAGAUUGAAGCAAAAAUUGAAAUUAGAAAAUGAAACCUUUUCUUGGUUUUUCCUCUCAAGAGCCAUGGUUGAGCAAGGAGCAAAAUGAAGAUAUUUUGGACCAAAACAAGAUAAGAAGGAAGAAAAAUCGCUGGUCAAAGCUGCUGUCCCAUCACAAUCCGGCCAGAUUCCUGGGCGGAUUCAGGGCAAUAGCGAAACUCAAUUUUUUCAAAAAUCUCAAACAAUCCGGCCAAUAUCUGGCCGGAUUUGGUACUAAGCAGUUUCGACAAAAUUUUUCGUUUCCAAAAUCACACGCCGCGUUCAUCCGUACUCCCAGAAAGUAUAUAUAUCCAUAAUCUUAUACAAAUACACUUAAUACACACCAUCACAUGUUCAUGUAUAAGAAAUGAAAACCCUCCUUAACAAUGGAUAGCCAAUUCUCUUCAUUUUCUUCAAGGAAAGUGAAAUUAAACAAAAUACCAAGAAAAUGUGAAAAUUUUGGGUUCUCACAAAUAUCAAUUUCAUCAUAUUUAUGACUAACAAUCUAACAGGGAUUUAUGCCUUUACAAAUUGUUAAUUAUUUGGUUAAAAAACCUUUCAAAAGAUUUGUUUUAUUGUAUGGCAAUUUUUGGGGACCAAUUAAUUUUGCUUCAAGCCCCACAUUUUCCUUGCUAAGUGUGUUGUGAGGUUACACGUGGCCUUGUUGGGAUUGUGCCUUUUUUUGCAGAAAAAUUUUUAUAUUUUUUUACAAUUAUCAUUUUAUCUCAGAAACAUCAAAUCGUUACAGUAUAUUUUUUUACAAAAACUCCUAAAAAUAGCAAUACAAAUGGAGCUCUUGCAGCCACAAAUCAAAUGAAUUUUGACGUCAUUUUUAGUGUGACUUCCUUCUUCUGACACGUAUCCACUUUGUAUGGUUGGAACAUCCCGCUAUAGAAGAUCCGGUCGGUCGUGGCCAAUAAUGGGAUAGCAUAGCUUUUUGCCCAAUCACUUAAGCACGGCAAGAAGUAUUUUUUUUUUUAAUUUUACUUUUAAAUAGCGGCAAUAAGUUAUUAACAAAAGAUAAUAUGCUAGUUCUAAUACUAUGACGCUAUUCCCGUUUCCUCUAGAGGAUUUUUCAGCCAACAAACUCCUCCAACUGCCUUCCUCAAGUCUUUCUAGGGUUCUUUCUAUUUGUUUCUGUAAUACACUUUCUGACAAAUUUUCAAUCCUAGUAUUUUCUCAGUGGAAAUAUCUUUUUUUCUUAGUGAGAAUUUUUGUUUUUUGUUUUUUAGUUUUUAUUAGAUUUAAGUUUAUUCAAGUCUAAACUUUCUCGUAGGGCUUGAAAAUCUGUCUGGGAAGGCUUACAAUUCAUUUGCAACUACAAACAUUUAUAUGCAUUUAAUUAUAAGAAAAUUUGGAGCUUUCUAGUUUUUUUUUUUUUUUGUUAUUGGUUUCUCUGAUUUGAAGGAAGUCACUUCUAUUUGCAUUUCCAUUGCGUCUUUUUCAUGUAUUUUCUCCUAUUUGUACAGCUUUUAUGUGAAUAAAUAAAAUUCUCUUCUUCGUUAAAAUAAAUGAAAGAAAAUAUGAAGGAGAAAUUAAUUGAUCUAAUUGACAAUAUGUCUUUAUCAAUAGAUGCCUCCUCAGAUAUUCUCAAAAACUUCCAUACUCUAACUAUCAUUAUUUUUACACAAUAGUAUUUCUUUAACAAUUACUAGCAUUUCUAUUUUGUAAUUUGAACUACUUUCUUUCCAUCUUUGGUACACUUAUAGUUGCAAUUAUCUUAUGUUAAAUUCAAUAACUUUCAACUACAUGUUAUGGUGAGAGAUAUUUGUUUGACAUGAUAUAAACCUAAGAAGAAAAGAAUUCAAUUUGAAAACACACGUAAGACAAUAUAUAUAGGUCCAUGUACAUAAACCAAAGACCAAAAUUAUAUCAUCUCAGUAAGCACAUUUAAUAAUAUUCCCUGGAGUAUUAAAAUUAAGCAUAAGUUAAACAUUUUAUCUGGAAAUGUCUCCUAAUAAUCUUAUAUGUGAAUGAAAUAAUUAGGCAGAGAAUUGGGAAACGGAAAGACUUGAGCAUAUGCUCUUUUUCUGUGAAAUUGCACAACAAAUAUGGUAAGUAGCACCAACCCAGUGGGAUGGCCUAGGAAAUAGAAGCAACCUCUGCCAUUGAUGAGGGGAGUUGAUGGAAGAAAACGCAUUGCUUUGAACUGUAAACCUGCGCAGAUUUGCAAAGAAAGGAGGUUGUUCAAGUGUUAAUUUAGUGGCCAUGACACCACCUGGACGGUCGGACCAUUCAGUACUGACAGAGCCAUGUUAAGUCAAGGGCGGAGCCAUGUUAGAGAUCAAUAAUCAGAGGCUUACAAAAUUUCGUAAUUUUUCAAUUUAGCUCACAUUUGCACUGACAAAUUUUGUAAAAAUUUUAUUUUGCUCUUGCAUUGCCCCUUAGAGCAUCUACAAUGGUUUACACCCUUUAGGGUGUAAUCCACAUGCCACAUCAGCAUUUCACUAUCUCCUCUUUUUAUUACACUCUUAUCCACAAUGGAUUACACUCACAGAAUAUAAUAGCAUGGAUCCACAUGCCGCAUCAGCAUUCCACUAUCUCCUCUUUUAUUAUACUCUCUCCCCUCUUUUAUUUUAACAAUGCAUAACUCAUAACCCAUAAAUAAAUAAAUUUAUUAUUUUAAAAAUGGUUAUUUUUAAAAAUAAAUUAUUGACGUGACACCUCAAAAUGUGAAAAUAUCAUAAUAAUCCAUUAUUCAUUAAUAAUACCCUAUCUACUGAAUUUAACUGCACGACAUAAUAUUAAAAUUAAAUAAAAUACCAAUAAUAAUAUAACGAAUACUAAUUUUUAUUAUUAUUGCCUCCAAAUCGUUCCCAAAAAUGCUCGAACAAAUCCAACAGAAGUUGAUGAUGUACUUUCCGAUCACGUAGUUUCGCAUUCCUCUGAAGAUAAUGGUGAAAAUUUUCGACUUGAGUCACAGGGAUCGUUGGUUCUUCAUCAUCAUUAUCCCAGUUUUUUAUUGCAUCUCCCUCAUCCUCGACAAUCAUAUUAUGCAAUAUGAUGCAUGUGUAUACUAUAUCUUUCAAUUUAGCUUUAUGCCAAAAUCGAGCUGGGCCACGUACAAUUGUCCAACGAGAUUGGAGCACUCCAAAAUCUCGCUCGACGUCUUUUUUUUGCAGCCUCCUGUAUUUGCUUAAAUUUGAUCCUCUUUGGAUCUUUAGGAGAUGUAAAACUUUUAACAAAUGUUGUCCAUUCUGGAUAUAUGCCAUCUGCUAGACAAUAUCCUUUGUUGUACUGUGUGCCGUUUACCAUAAAUUGAAUAUCAGGAGCAUAUCCGUGUAACACGUCGUUAAAUAGUGGAGAUUGAUUGAGUACAUUAAUGUCAUUGUUAGAUCCCGCGAUGCCAAAAAAUGCAUGCCAUAACCACAAAUUUGCUGAUGCAAUUGCUUCUAGCAUUAUUGUGGGAGAUCCUUGAUCACCUCGAGUAAAUUGACCUUUCCAUGCCACGGGACAAUUCUUCCAUUGCCAAUGCAUGCAGUCAAUGCUACCAAGCAUUUUGGGGAAACCAUGGCGCUCAGAAUGCAAUUGAAGUAAACGUUCAACAUCAUUAGUAUUAGGCCUUCUCAAGUAUUGUGCUCCAAAAAUAUCGAUCACGCACCAACAAAAUUGUGACAAACAUUCGAUUGCAGUGCAUUCACACAUCCUUAUGUACUCGUCCAAUUGGUCAGCAGGUGCUCCAUAUGCUAAUUGUCGGAUAGCUGCUGUGGUUUUUUGAAGUGGAGAAAGUCCUCUUUUGCCAGCUGCAUUGACCCUCAUUUGAAAAAACUCUGAAUGAUUUGUCAUCGACUCCACAAUUCGAAGGAAUAAUUCCCUUCUCAUUCAAAAUCGUCAGCGGAAUAUAUGUGAAGGAUACACUGGCUCGUUGGUGAAAUAGUCAUUAACAAGUCGAACAUGUCUAACACCACGCUCUCAAUUGUAAUAUCUUCGACUGUGUGGACGGAUGUUACGACUUGAAGAUGUAUGUUGCGUUUGCCAUUGCUCCAACAUCUUCAUAAUUUGAUCAUCAAUGUCAUCCAUCAUUUCAUCGGCUAAAAACUUUUAAAUUUCUUCUAUAAGAGAGAUAUCAGGAUAUUAAUACAUUUUUUGAGUCUGUUGAGUAUUUGGUGGCAAUGUAUUGCGUCUUGCCAAUACAAAUAUAGUGCUAGUGUUAUAACGGCUAGUUUUCCAACGGCUCAUUUUUCUAACGGCUAAUUUUCCAACGGCUAGUCUUCUGACUUAUUAUAAUGAAUAUAUAUAAUAUAUAUUUAUAUAAUUAAUAUUAUAUUUAUAUUAUAUAAUAUAUUUAUAAUUGUUAUAUACAUAUACAUAAUAUAUUAUAUAAAUAUAUAUUACAAUUAUUUAAUUAAGUAUAAUUAUAUUUAUCUAAUAUAAAUUAUAAGUUUAUGAAUAUUAUAUUAAUUUAAAAUGAUGAAAUUUAAAACUUCGUUAGCUUGGUUUCAAAUCCAUGGCCGGAUUUCAUAGUUUGGUUUCGAAUCCAUGACUGGAUUUCAUAACCUCGUUCCAAAUCCAUGGCUGGAUUUUAUAUGUUGGUUUCGAAUCCAUAGCUGGAUUUCAUAACCUGGUUUCGAAUCCAUGGCAGGAUUUCAUAAAUUGGUUUCAAAUCCAUGGCCAGAUUUUAUAGCUUGGUUUCGAAUCCAUGGUCGGAUUUCAUAGCUUGUGUCUAGUUACGCCAUAAAUGUACUACAUAAGUGAUUAAUAUGAUACAACAUGGUUUUUUCUGCAUCUUAUUGCACCGUAUAGUAAAAUAAAAUUAAAAAUAGACUAAGAAAUAUUAUAUUUGGCUUUUAGGAUGAAGCACAUUUGCUCAUGAAUUCGAAGCUGUUAAUCGGUCAUACCCGUGGUAUCCUUGAGUAAUAUUUCAUAAUCACUUUGAAAAUUAUAACUUUAUAACUUAUUUGCCAAGUUUUCCAUAGCCUGCAAUUUUUCUUCUUUUUGCUGCAUCAACACUUUUCGGAUUUGAUCAAAUUCCUCACUCACAUUUGAUUUUGCCUUUUUCUUUCCCUUCUUUGAUGCUUUUUGACCAGGUGGGUGAACUUCACGUGCUUCAUUAUCAUUGAUGUCAAAAUUUGAAUUCGUAUUGGAUGAAUAAGUGUAUGCCCCGCUUUCAUCGGUUAUUAUCUUUUUUGAAGAACGUUGCAUAGGAGUAUUUACUUUCCACUUCGGAUCAUUUUUCAACAACACCCACACAUGUUCAUGUAAAAAAUGCUUGUUAUUAUUCUGAUGAAAUAGCUCACGUGCGUGUUGCUUGAUCUAGUCAUCAUUCCACCUGCUAUGAUGUUUGCCGACCAAUCUGUUGUAAUAUUGGUUGAACUCAUUAACCAUCCGACUCAACCAAUGCCAAUGUGAUUUCACUGCUUUAUAUUUUCGUGGUGGUCCAGAUUUUCGAUUCUCAUUGAAGUAGUCGACGACUCAUUUCUAAAAACUUUUUUCAUUUUGAGAGUUACCCACAACGCUGCAAUUUGAAAUUGUGAGCCAAGCACUUGCAAGAAUCUUGUCAUCAUCCACACUCCAUGGAACACAUUUACGGUCAGGUUCUUCCACCGCCUCAUUUGUGAGAUUUAUAUUUUCUACCUCACGUUGUGUUGAAUACGGUGGAAAUUGAGAAUCCUAAAUUGACUCUGUUGGUGUUGCAUUAUCUUGUUGACUGGCGAAAUCAAAAUCCUUCCUUAUCUCCGACGGAGUCGUUGAGCCUUCACAACCCAUACCAAGGUUAUAAUACCUCGGUGUAUAGUGAUUUCCCAUAGAAUGAUUAAAAUAAUUAGGUGACGGAUACAUGGGAAUUUGAUAUGGAAAAUGUGGUGGAUUUUGGAAAUUUGAUGAAUGAUUGGAAUUGGGUAAAUUUGGGUAAUUUGGAAUUGGAAAUGGAUAAUUUGGCAAAUUUGGAUAAUUUUGGUGGUUUUGAUUUUGUGAAGCGGAUGAAUUUUCUAUAUUUGGACUAUUUAACAUAUUUCUAAAACUACUAAGAUUCUCAUCUAUAAUGAUAAAAUACUGAAAUUUAUAAAAUUAUGUAAAGAGAUUGAAAAUAAUGAAUAAGGGAGUAGGAGAGAUAAUGGAGUAGAAGAUUGUGAGGUGAAAUAAAAAAAUUAAUUUGUGUAUUUAUAGGAAGUAAAAUAAAUUAUCCGUUGCUAAAAUAUAGCUGUUGUAAAAAAAGGCCAUUGUCAAAUGAUUGGUUCCAAAAAUGACCAUUGUAAAAUGUUUCAAAAAAUGACCAAGUAAAAUGCUGUCUCAUUUUGGCUAUUUGGAUGUUUGCUAGUAUUGUAAUGCCGUUUGGAUCCCAUAACAUCUUCAAUGACACGCAUCAUCAAUAUUGUACGUGUCAUCUAAUCAGUAUUGUGCGUGUAAUCUCCAUGACACGGUCAUAACAUCUUCCAUGACACGUAUCAUCAAUAUUGUACGUGUCAUCUAAUCAGUAUUGUGCGUGUAAUCUCCAUGACACGGUUGGUCUUCCAACCGUGUCAUGGAGCGGUGUAAUGGGGGGAUUAUACCCCCAUUAUACAUUGCUGUGGAUGCUCUUAAAACAGCUAACGUAUUUGAAAAGUAGAAUGGACCAGCUAAAUAACCAAGAUGCCGCCGAUUACAAUAAUUUGCAUGGUGAGUUCUUGGUAGUAGUUAUUUAGUGACUUCCAAGCCUUUGCUCAUUAUAAAUACCGGCCCCCUCCACAUUCCAAACAUACUCAACCACCUUCCUUGUGCUACAUUCUGCUAUCUUCUGCCACCACCACCACCCCCACUACUCCCAGAAAAUGGAAAGCUUUUCUCCCACCUGGGCUGUAUAUGCACUCGCCUGGGUUGCAACGGUGGUUAUCGCCCAUCUCUCGAAGCAUUUCCAUCAGCAAAAACUCAACCUCCCACCGGGUCCAAGGCAAUGGCCUAUAAUUGGAAACUUAAACCUCAUUGGCACCCUUCCUCAUCGUUCACUCCAUCAACUCUCCCUAACAUAUGGUCCCCUAAUGCACCUUCAAUUCGGCACCUUCCCAGUUGUCGUUGGCUCCUCCGUGGAGAUGGCCAAAGUUUUCCUCAAAACCAUGGACGUCACAUUUGCAGGGAGGCCUAAAACUGCAUCCGGAAAAUAUAACUCUUAUGAUUGCACCGACAUGACUUGGUCCGCUUACGGACCAUAUUGGCGCCAGGCACGUAAGAUUUUCCUUACGGAAUUAUUCAGUGCAAAAAGACUCGAAUCAUAUGAACAUAUUCGGGUGGAAGAAAUGAAUUCGCUUCUGCUACAGCUAUUCAAGUCAUCAGGCAAGCCUGUCGUGUUGAAAGAUUAUCUUUCAACAGGAAGUUUGAACGUGAUUAGCAGGAUGGUCCUGGGGAAAACAUACAUUGAUGAGUCUGAGAACUCAAUUGUCACGCCCGACGAGUUCAGGCAAAUGAUGGACGAGCUUUUUUUGCUGACUGGUGUGUUUAACAUUGGUGACUUCAUACCUUGGAUCGAUUUCUUGGAUUUGCAGGGGUAUAUCAAGAGGAUGAAAAUCUUGAGCAAGAAAUUUGAUAGGUUUCUGGAGCAUGUUCUCGAUGAGCAUAAUGCCCAAAGGAAGGACGACACUAAUUGCGUCAGCAAGGACUUGGUGGACGUCCUUCUGGGCCUUGCAGAUGAUCCCACUUUGGAGGUGAAGUUAGAGAGGCGUGGAGUCAAGGCAUUGACUCUGGUAUAUGUUACUUACAAACUGCACAACGCAUGCUGUCAACUUUUAAACGACUGAAAACUUGAGAGAAAAUAGUCAGUGAUCUUUUGAACUUGAAUACUCCUCAAAAUUUUCUUUGCUACUGAAAACUUGAGAGAAAGUAGUCAGGAUCUUUGUAGUUUGAUGAAAAUUUUUCAGUGGAGGCAGAAUUAACAAGAAAAUUCUUUUUAAUCCUUCUAAAAGAAAUUGCUUUUGAUAAAGGUACUCAAGUAAGUAAGAAAAUUGUUGGCCAAGUACAGUCAAUUUGCAACUUAAAAACGUUUCUUGCUGCACUUUGCGUAAUGAUUGAACUCUAGGACCUACUUGCUGGUGGAACCGAGACCUCAGCGACUACAGUAGAAUGGGCCAUUUCGGAGCUACUGAAAAACCCAGAAAUAUUCAACAAGGCAGCCGAAGAACUCGACCGUGUUAUCGGUCAGAAUCGAUGGGUGAACGAGAAGGACAUGCCAAAUCUUCCUUACAUAGAGGCUGUUGUUAAAGAAACAAUGCGUAUGCAUCCCGUGGUCCCAUUGCUAGUGCCAAGAUGUGCUCGCGAAGAUUGCAAAGUUGCAGGGUACGAUAUUCAAAAGGGAACUCGAGUCAUCGUCAACGUUUGGUCAAUUGUGAGGGACCCUGAAUUGUGGGAGAAGCCAGAGGUAUUUUGCCCCGACAGAUUCAUGGGAAAGGACAUUGACUUCAAAGGGCAAGACUGUAAGUUCUUGCCAUUUGGUGCUGGAAGAAGAAUGUGCCCAGGGUAUAGUUUAGGCCUCAAGGUUAUCCAAUCUAGUUUGGCCAAUCUUUUACAUGGAUACAGAUGGAAGUUGCCAAAUGACAUGAAACCUGAGGACCUGGACAUGGAAGAAAGAUUCGGCAUUACUACACCAAGAAAAAUCCCACUUGUUGCCAUUGUUGAGCCUCGGCUUCCUCGUAAUCUUUAUUGACUAUGAUUCACUACGUGUAUGUUUGAUCUCCCAGUAUCAUCAUUAUCAACUUGUGUUCAAAUAAAUCAGCUCUGCAAGUUUAGAAUUUGUAGCUGCGCUUAUAUGUGUUUGCCAAUUGCUACAACGCUACAAACCCUUGUAGUUGGUGCAUGGCAUAUGCGUAAUCACUGAGAUUGUUAUGCGUAUUGAAUUCCAAAUUUGUUCACAAUUAUGUGAAACUGUGAAUAUGCACACCCCUGAUGUUUCAAAUACAUUCUAUAAAAUUCUGAUGCUAAUUUAAAUCUGCAAUAGCAGGCACACAGUCAAAGCAAUGUGCUCUCUGCCAUCUUUCCUCUUAGCAUCUUCCAUCAAUUCCUGUGCACCUCUAAGCCAUGCCACUGGAUUGGUGCUACUUUCCGUACUUGUUGGGGGGAAGAGAGAAAGAGAAAAAAAAAAGAGCGGAGGGUGAGGUGGCUGCGGCAGUGAUGGCAUGGGAAGGGAGGGAAGAGGAAGAGCAGUAGUGGUGUGGUGCGGAGAGACAGAAGAAGAAGAGAGGAGAGAAAAGAAAAAAGAAAAAAAAGGGAAAAAAAGCAAGAUUUGGAAUUUUUUCAAACCGUCAAAUGCACAAAAGUUUUCUUAAAGUUUUAUAGUAAAGUGUUAUUCUUGGUUUUGAUGAUCACAAAAGUUUGUUUAUACAGACCAAGAAAGUGAACACUUUGAUCAGGUCUGUUGGAACAAAGAAAGCGUAUGUUCGUUUAUCUCCUGACUACGUUGCUUUGGAUUUGGAUGUGGCAAACAAGAUUGGAAUAAUAUGAAUGAAUUUAGUCAUUGUUUUGUUUUCGAUCAAAGAUAUUGUCUUUUAAGUAUGUCUAGUUUGUCAUUCUUGGUACUUUGAAAUAUUUGUCUAACCUUCCUCAAAUACAAGUGUUUUUUUGUCUAUCCAAGAAUCAGGUUCAAAUAUGUCAUGAAAUGUAAAACAACCAAAAUGAGAAGCAAAAACAGGACAAUCAGGUCGGACGGCCGAAAGGAAACUGUCGGACGUCCGAAAAGAUAAAGAACAUCAGGAAGGAAGCACCGUCGGACGCUCACAUGGAAGCAUCGGACGUCCGGAAGGAUCGGACGCUUGCCAUCGGACGUUAAUCAACCGCAUCGGACGUCCGAAAAAUUCCAAGAUAACUUGCUAGCUCUCGGCCCAAGGUCGGACGCUGUGCUGUCGGACGACAAAGAACUUAUCGGACGUCCGAACCUCAACUUGGCUAUCAUCGGACGAUUGGUUCGGACGAUGAUUCGAUCGUCGGACGUCCGACAGCCCCAACGGCUAGUUGACUCUUCAGCUGCCUUCUAUCCGUUGGAAGCAUUGAUGAAGCCCAUUUCUGGAUCCCUUUAAAAUCAAACUGGUCUGAACGAAGUAGGGACUUUUGCUCACUUUGUUUACAAGUUCUCAAGAGAUAUUUUAGCUAGAAAAUAGUCUCCAAAGCAGAUUUGUAUUAAAGUGGUGUGAAUUUCUGUUGAGCAUUUCUUUUGUGGUUGAAAGGAUCUUUAGUGUAGCUUUGUUGAGGGUUUUCUGAGUGAUUGUAAAACUUCCUAGCUUGACUAAGUGAGGCUUAGGGCAAGGAGGAAGAGCUCCCUCCAUUGUACAUCUAGUUGAUCUUCGUUCAUCAAAGAGAAGUUGCUCUUCCUAGUGUUUGGUCUUCAAGUUUGGGUAAAGCUUGGUAGACACUUGGUUUGUUUCUCUAUUUUAUAUUUCUGUUUAAUAAAAUCUUCAUUGCUUAUCUAUACUUGCUUCUCUGAUUAAUAUUGCUAUUGUCUUCUAAUCUACUUGGUUGAUCAUUACUAAAAAGGAAGGUAAAUUUUCAUUAAAGAAAAAGUGCAUAAACUUGGUUAAGUUUUUAAUCAACCAAUUCACCCCCCCCUCUUGGUUGUCUGUGGGACUUACAAUUGGUAUCAGAGCUUGGUCUCUUUUGAUCAAGCUUAACCGCUUAGAGUAAAGAUCAUGGCAACCAUAAAAGUUUCUUUUUUAGAAGGGCAAUCUAUUGAUAGACCACCUAUGUUUAAUGGUUCUCAUUUUAGCAUGUGGAAACAAAGAAUGAUGAUUUUCUUACAAUCUGUUUACAUUGAAUUAUGGUAUGUGGUAGAAGAUGGUCCUUAUGAAGCUAGAAUAGUUGACUCUAUCACCAAUUUGAGUAGAUUAAAGACUAGACAAGAAUUGAAUGAAAAAGACAAGAGAUACCUUUCUUUGAAUGCCAAGGCCAUGUGUAUAUUGUACAAUGCAUUAGAUGUAAAUGAAUCUACUAGGAUUAAAGGUUGUAAAUCAGCUAAAGAUAUUUGGGAUAAAUUGUGUGUAUUUCAUGAAGGUAAUCAAGAUAUUAAAGAACAAAAGAAAUCUUUACUUGUUUCUCAAUAUGAAUUUUUCAAAAUGCAUUCUCUUGAAAAUGUUGAUAAGAUGUGUAGUAGAUUUUGUGACAUUAUUGAAGAACUUAAAUUGCUUGGAAAAGAAUAUUCUUUGGAUGAGAAAAAUAGAAAGAUUUUGAAUGCCUUGCCAAAAGAAUGGGAAAACAAAAUAAAUGCUAUAGAAGAGGCAAAGGAUUUAAAUUCUAUGUCCAUUGAAUCUCUUGUGGAUACCCUAACCUCUUAUGAAUUAAAGCUGGAAUUCAAAGUGCAAGAGGAAGAAAAUGCAAGAAUGUAUAAGAGAGGCAUAGCUUUUAAAGCAUCUCAAGUGGGGGAUAACCCAUCCUUCAUGGGUAAUGAAAUCAUGGAAGUGGACAAUGAUAUAACUCCUCACAUCAAAAGUUUCAAGAAGAUCUUCAACAAGAGAUGUUCAAGAGGAGAUUGCAAAAUUACAUGGGAUGAAUGCAAUUCAAAAAGAGAAAAAGAAGAGUUGUCCCAAAUGGCACUAAUGGCCGUUGGAGAAGAUGAGGUAAGUUCUUAUCACUCUUCUUGUGAUGAAGAUAAUGAAGAUGAUGAUGUGAAAACUCUUAUGAUUAAAAUGCAUAAAAGUUUGAAAAAAUCUUAUGCUAAAAAUAAAGAUUUGAAAACAAAAAUAAAUGAUUUGUUGGAAGAAAACUCCAAACUUUUUCAAGAAAACAAAUGUUUGAGAAUGGAAAAUGAUGAUUUAAAAAAUCAAAAAGGUGUUUUUGAUUGCAAAAAUAAUUUGAAAAGAAAGUUGGAAGAGAAAACAAAGUUUUAUGAAAAAAUGUUGGAGGAACAAAAUUUGUUAAAGAAAAGAAUUAAUGACUUGAACGAGGUUCUCCAAAAUGAAAAACAAAAGUUUUCUCAAACAAAAGAAAGCAAAUCUUUUCAAGGCACAAAUAAGUUUGCUAAGAAAAUUAGUUGCAUUAAAUCCACUUAUAUGCAAAAUACUUCUAUCAUGUGUCACUUUUGUUGCCAAUUUGGACACAUGUAAAAUGAUUGCUAUGUAAAGAAAAAUAUGAGAAAAGAUAUGAAAUCCAUGUGGAUUGCUAGAUCAUGUUGUAAUAACUCCCAAGGACCCUAUUAUGGUCUUGACUUGAAAAAUAAAGGGGGAGUUUGUUUUUUGAUUGAUGCCAAAAGGGGGAGUAGGAUUUAUUGAAAUUUCUUUGCAUGUUGGCACUUUCUAAGGGGGAGCUUUAUUUGAACUUAUUUGAUAAAAGAAAUCUUCAUUUUGUUUGUCAUCAUCAAAAAGGGGGAAUAUCCACCAGAUCAUACCAAAAGAAACUUAAAAUAUCCAUUACAAUACAUAUUCAUUGUUGAAUACCACAAACACGUAAAGAUGACAACCAGUCAUGCUAUGUUUGUUGAGGGGCAAUCUGUUACUAGGCCUCCCAUGUUCAGUGGCUCUAACUAUGUUAGCUGGAAAGAACGAAUGAUUAUCUUUUUGCAAUCUAUCGAUAUUGAACUAUGGUUUAUUGUGAGUGAAGGACCGCAUGAAGCUAACUUUCUUGAUGCAGAUACAGGGUUGCUUCGGCCAAAAACAAGAGUUGAAAUGAAUGCUCAAGAUAGGACUAACCACAUUGAAUGCCAAGGCCAUGAAUGUUAUUUAUAGUGCCCUAGAUUCAAAUGAAUCAAUCAGAGUAAAAGGCUGCAAAUCGGCUAAAGAAAUGUGGGAUAAACUAAGAGAAAUCCAUGAGGGUGGUGACAAUGUGAAAGAACAGAAAAAGGCCAUCUUGGUCACGAAAUAUGAAUCAUUUAAAAUUGAACCUCUUGAGGAUAUUGACAAAAUGUAUUGCAGGUUCACUGACUUGAUCAAAGAUCUCGAGGCGUUGGGCAAAGAGUACACCUUGGGAGAGAAGAACAGGAAAAUUCUCAAUGCCUUGGGCAAAGAAUGGGAAAAUAAAGUGACAGCAAUAGAGGAGGCCAAGGAUUUAAGUUCUGUGCCUAUUGAAUCUAUCAUUAACUCACUAACCACUUAUGAGUUGAAACUGAAAUCUAAAGUGCAGGAGGAAGAGGAUGCUAGAGCAAAGAGAAACAUUGCUCUAAAGACUACUCAAGGUGAAGAUGAUUCUGCUCAUCUGGAUGAUGAAGACUCGGAUGGUGAUGAUAAUGAUCUUGCUCUCAUCACCAGAGGCUUCAAAAGAAUCCUGAAUAAAAGAAAGUUUAGAAGGGGAGGACCUAGCAAUCAAUUCCAGAAUCAGCCAUCUAUCGCAAAGUAUAAAGGUAAACAAGAUUUCAACAAGAAACAGUUGGACAAAUGCUUCGAAUGUGGACAGAUUGGACAUUAUGCAAACGAAUGCCCCAUGAAGAAGAUGAAAGAUGGAAAAGCUGAUCGAAAGCCAAGAUUCAACAAUUUUCAGAUUACUUGGAAUGAAUGCAACUCCGAAGGGGAAGUUGAAGAAGAAGAAGAAUCUGCUCAAAUGGCCUUCAUGGCUAUUGGAAAUAAUGAGGUAACCUCCACACACUCUCAAUCUGAAAGUGAUAAUGAUGAAGAUGAUGAUCUUGAAUCUUUUGUUGAAAAACUGCAUAAUGCCUUGAAGGAAUCCUAUGAUAAAAACAAGCAGUUAAAACAGAAAAUGGCUUUUCUCAUUCAAGAAAAUGCAAGUCUUUUUCAACAAAAUAAACAACUAAAGACCGACAAUGAAAGUCUAGUAAGAGCUGGAUGUAAUGUUCAAGAUGAGCUUGAUAGAAAGACAAAUAUUUGUGAAAUGCUGAAGGAAAGACAUGGUGAUUUGAAAAAAAGGAUGGACAGCUUGGAUGAGAAUUUGAAAGCAAGAAAGCAGGAGUUUAACAAAAGGAACAUGUUAUCUACACAUCCUACUACUUUUCAAAGAACAUUUGCACACAACAAAAUGGCACAUGGUUUCACAACAUAUAGAAGAGGUGAAUUAAGAUAUGUCAAACCAGUACAUGUUAAGGACUCUUCCAUUAUGUGUGUUUUUUGUUGUCAAAGAGGGCAUUUGAAAAGUAAUUGCUAUGUGAAAAGAAAUCUGAAUAAAGGGAUGAAGUGCAUGUGGUUAGUUAGAUACAAUGCUAACUAUUAUGGACCCAAAAAUUAAAAAGGGUACCAAACACGUUAUCUUUUCAGGAUAAAGGAUCAAACAAGUCAAAAUGGUUUAUUGAUAGCGGCUGCUCAAGGCACAUGACCGGUGAUCCUUCCUUGUUCAUAAAGCUGAAAUCAAAAUCAAGUGAAAAUGUAACAUUUGGUGAUGAUGUGAAAGCUAAGACAAUUGGAAUAGGUGAUGUUGGUAAGGAUGGUGAAACUUUUGUUCAUAAUGUGCUCUUGGUUGAUAACUUAGGUUAUAACUUGCUUAGUGUUAGUCAACUGUGUGAUAAAGACUUGUAUGUGUUAUUUAAAAAGCAUGAAUGCAUUGUACUUGAUUCCAAAUAUAAUGUUGUGUUCAAAGGUAAGAGGUUUAAUGACAUAUAUAUUGUGAUUCUUGAUAAAGUUGAUUCUUCUAGCUUAAAAUGUCUUAAAGCUUCAAAUGAAGAUUCUUGGUUGUGGCAUAGAAGACUUUGUCAUUUUAACAUGGAUUUACUAAAGGAAAUUUCGAAAAAGGAGUUGGUUAGAGGCUUGCCAAAAAUUAGUUUUGAUAAGGACAAAAUAUGUGAUGCAUGUCAAUUUGGGAAGCAAACUAAAAUUUCUUUUAAACCAAAAAUGUGUGUAUCUACUUCAAAACCUUUGGAACUCUUGCAUCUUGAUUUAUUUGGUCCCACUCAAAUCACUAGCUUGGGAGGUAAAAAAUAUUGUUUUGUAAUUGUUGAUGAUUAUUCCAGAUACACUUGGGUGAUAUUUCUUGCUCAUAAAGAUGAUGCCUUCAAGAAUUUUACUUCAAUGUUUGCUAAAGUGCAAAAUCUGCUUGGGUUAAAAAUUGUUAGGAUUAGAAGUGAUAAUGGGACGGAAUUCAAGUAUUGUGGUUUUCCAGAAUUUUGUGAUCAUAAUGGUAUAACACAUGAGUUUUCUAUUGCAAGGACUCCACAGCAAAAUGGUGUUGUAGAAAGGAAAAACAGGACUCUCCAAGAGGCUGCUAGAACUAUGUUGAAUGAAUGUAGGUUGCCUAAAUAUCUUUGGGCGGAAGCGGUAAACACUGCAUGUUAUGUGAUGAAUAGAAUACUCUUGAGACCUAUUUUAAAGAAAACUCCUUAUGAGCUGAUUUUUGAUAAGAAACCUACGGUUGGUUAUUUCAAAGUAUUUGGUUGUAAAUGUUUUAUUUUGAAUCUAAAGGAACAUCUUGGUAAAUUUGACAAAAAAUCUGAUGAAGGAAUAUUUUUGGGGUAUUGUGAGAAUAAAAGAGGAUAUAGAGUUUUUAAUAGAAGGACACUUGUGAUUGAAGAAGCUAUACAUAUAACAUUUGAUGAAGCCAAUGAUGAUAAUUCCAAAAGUUUGUGUGAGGAUGAUGAUGUAGGUGUUCGAGAAGCAAUGGAAAAGCUAUCAAUUGGAAAUGAAGGAAGUUCUGAACCAGCAGCAACUGAAAUGGAAAAUGAAGUUCAUAAUGAUCAAGAAGAGGAAGAUGAAGACAAAAAUGAUGAUCCACUCAAAGAUCUUCCCAAGGCUUGAAAAUUCAACCAAAAUCAUCCAAAAGAGCUUAUAAUUGGUGAUCCAUCCGAGAAGGUAAACACUCGUUCCUCAUCUAGAAAAUUGAUUGAUAAUUUUGCUUUAGUUUCUCUUUUUGAACCCAAAAAUAUCAAUGAUGCUUUAAAGGAUGAAAAUUGGAUUUUGGCUAUGCAAGAGGAACUUAAUCAAUUUGAGAGAAAUGAAGUUUGGACACUUGUUGAUAGACCUCAAAAUCAACCUAUCAUUGGCACAAAGUGGAUUUUUAGAAAUAAGUUGGAUGAUAAAGGUGUUGUUGUAAGAAAUAAAGCCAGAUUAGUUGCUAAAGGAUAUGCACAAGAAGAAGGAAUAGAUUUUGAUGAAACAUUUGCUCCCGUACCAAGAUUAGAAUCUAUUAGAAUGCUUCUUGCUUUUGCUUGCUUCAAAGGUUUCAAAUUGUUUCAAAUGGAUGUUAAAAGUGCCUUUUUAAAUGGUUUUAUUGAUCAAGAAGUGUAUGUGGAUCAACCCCCAGGUUUUGAAAAUACAAAAUUUCCAAGUCAUGUGUUUAAACUUUCUAAAGCUUUCUAUGGUUUAAAACAGGCUCCAAGAGCUUGGUAUGAAAGAUUAAGUGGGUUCUUGAUUGAAAAAGGUUUCAAAAGAGGUAUUGUGGACACCACACUUUUUACUAAGCAUGUGUUGAAUGACCUUUUCAUUGUGCAAAUAUAUGUUGAUGAUAUUAUCUUUGGUGCUACUAAUGAGUAUCUAUGUAAGGAGUUUUCCACCACUAUGCAAAAUGAAUUUGAAAUGAGUAUGAUGGGAGAAUUAAAUUUCUUCCUUGGACUUCAAAUACAUCAAACUCUUGAGGGAAUCUUUAUCAAUCAAGCAAAGUAUACCAAGGAAUUACUGAAAAGGUUUGGCAUGGAGGACUCAAAACAAGUUGGAACUCCAAUGUGCACUUCCACAAAGCUUGACAAAGAUGAAGAAGGUAAUCAUGUGGAUGAAAAGCAUUAUAGAGGUAUGAUCGGAAGCUUACUCUAUUUAACUGCAAGUAGACCUGAUAUUAUGUUUGCAGUUUGCUUGUGUGCUAGAUUUCAAUCGUGUCCAAAAGAAUCACAUUUGAAUGCUGUAAAAAGAAUUUUUAGGUAUUUGAAAGGUACAUUAGGCUAUGGUCUUUGGUAUGCUAAAUCCAGUGAGUUUGCACUAUAUGGUUAUUCGGAUGCUGAUUUUGGAGGGUGUCGUGUAGAUAGAAAGAGUACUAGUGGAUCUUGUCACUUUCUUGGAAAUUCUUUAGUCUCUUGGUUUAGCAAGAAACAAAAUGCAAUCUCAUUGUCUACAACCGAAGCAGAAUAUAUUGCCGCUAGUGCAUGUUGUGCUCAAUUUUUAUGGAUGAAGCAUACCCUGAAUGACUAUGGAUUGUUGUAUGACUGCAUGCCUGUAUUCUGUGAUAAUACGAGUGCUAUAAAUUUGACCAAAAAUCCUAUUCAGCAUUCUAGGACAAAGCAUAUUGAAAUAAAGCACCACUUUAUUCGUGAUCUUGUUCAAAAAGGUGAAAUUUGUGUAAAUUAUGUUUGUUCUAAAGAUCAAUUUGCUGAUAUUUUUACAAAAGCUUUGCCAUUAGAUCAAUUCAUUCAUCUAAGAUCAAAAUUAGGAAUGUUCGAAAAAUCAUCAUAAAUUUUUCAUUGCCUUCGGACGUCCGAAAGAGGAUGAAUGGACGUCCGAUGAUGUUCUUCAGCCAUUUUCCAGAUUGCACCUGUUCGGACGCAGCUGUCGGACGCACAACUUCGUUCGGCAGUCCGACAGUGCAACGGCUCAUUUUUUAAAAUAACUUUCUUCCUUAUUUGCUUCAGUCUCUUCCUAUUCUAUCUCUUCUCGGACGAAAACCCUCUCUUCUCUCACUCUCAAAUUCGUACCAUUCUGUAGCUACCAUUCCCAAAUUGACUCAACCAAAACAUUUCCCCAUCGUUUGCGUUUCAUUUCUCCUGAUCAUUUCACCAAACUGAGUAACACUUCGCAAAUCCCCAAAUUUUCCUCACAAUCCUACUCUUGCAUAACCGCUCUGUCAAAUCUCGUUCAAGGUGUUUUUGUCCCAAAAUUUCUGUGCGAUUCACUUCCCUACUGUUGUGUGCAUCAUUUGCAUCCUCCAUUCCACACAUUUAGAACAAUGGUGAAUCUAAGGGGAGGAAAAGUUACUGCCGGACGCAAGCAUCCACUCAGGGAUGAGGAUGAAAAUCUUCCUACUGUCAAACGGACAUCCAAACGCUUCAAAAGGGGAGCUAUCAAGGGUCAAAUGUCACGACCUACUCCACAACCCACUUCUCAACCAGAAUCUGGACAGGGGACCUCUUCUCAACCGCCUCCUAAAUCAGUCCCUCUCCCUCCAUUCUUUGAUGAUGCUGCGAAAGACAAAUACGCCUGGAUAUCUCAGAAGGGUGUCAUCCCUCAAAGAACUGUAAACCCCUCUGAAUUUCGUUCCAUAGGUUUAGAAUCCAUUCUAAGUCUAUUUGAUUUCCAGAAAUGGUCGCAUCUCAUUUCCAUGCCCAAUGUCUACUAUCCUGAUAUGCUGCAUCAAUUUUUUGCUAACCUUAGGAAAGGAACUGACCAAACUGAGAUCAUGUCUAGGGUAAAUGGGGUAGACCUAAUCUUUGAUUCUGAUACUGUGAAUUCCAUUUUAAAGACUACCAUUGAACGUUUGUGCAAAGAUAAGGUUGCUAAUUUCUUUUCUUAUGAAGAGCUUCCUACUGCUGCAAAUCAUUUUGAUGGGACAAAAAUGUUAACUUAUUUCAAAAGAAGUUUUUCUUCACCUGCUGAUGCUAAGUUGAAUGAUUUGGCUCCUGUGAAUUUGAUUGCCUUUUCUAUCAUUUCAAACUUGCUUGUGCCCACUGAUGGCCAUAGAACUGAUGCAAACAAAAUGGAGCUGUAUCUUUUUUACUGUUUUCGAGAAAAAAUUCGGAUUGAUUUUGGCUUUGUCAUGUGCAAGUUUUUACUUCGCUAUGCUACUGACUCUCGAAGAAAACUAUCCUAUGGGAAGUUUCUUCAAAAGAUUUUUGAAUUUUACAAAGUUCCAAUUCUAGGUGUUUGUCCCAAAGAAGCAUCUUCUUAUGCUUUUACCAGAGCAUAUUUUGAAAGGAAAAAUCUUAUUUUUAAAGAUAAUCUGUGGGCAUAUAAGGGGGCAUCAUCUAGUGAACAAAGAUCUAAGACUGUACAUGAUUCUUCACCCAUUUCACUCACUCCCAUUCACCCUAGGAAGUCUACCACUAAAGCAUCUUCCUCUUCCAGUAAUGAGGUAAUUGAGCUUCUUCAUGAACAAAAACAGCAUGUUCUUCUUCUAGAACAUGGCCUAAUGCUCACCAUGUCUUCUGAGCAACAAGCUGCCUUUCUUGAUAAAAAGAACCUUCUUUUUCCUCCACCUGUGGUUGAGGAAGUCUCACAUGACAAAGAACCUCGAACCACUGAUCCAGGUUCAUCAGUUCCAGAUCCGAAUCCAUCAACUCCUGUGACUCCUCAUGGCCCUUCCACAUCAGACAAAGGCAAGGCACCAAUUGAAGAAGCUACUGAAGAUGAUGAAGAAACUGAUGAGGAAGACCUCUCUCAAUAUCAGCUCUCUCGGAGGACUCCUGGAUCCACUUAGUUCAUCAUUUAGGACAUUUGCAUUCUGUUUGUCUCUUUUAUGUGUUUGUGGUAUUCAACAAUGAAUAUGUAUUGUAAUGGAUAUUUUAAGUUUCUUUUGGUAUGAUCUGGUGGAUGUUUAAGUACUGUUUUGAUGAAUGUCUAAAUAUUUUGAUGAAUGAUUGUCUAUUCUGCUUGUGUGAAUGUAAUGAAUUUGUGGAUUGUAUGAUUGUCUAUUGAAUAUGAUUGUCUAUUUUAAGUACUGUUUUGAUGGAUGUGUUGGAUGGUGUCACCAGGAUGUUGAUUUGUGAACUUGUGUAAAUUUGUGACUGUGUGGAUGACAAAAAGGGAUGUUGAUGUUGAUGUGAUUGGUUGCCCUUUUGUGAUGACAAAAAGGGGGAGAUGGUAUAAUGAUUGGAUUGAGUGAUGAUUGGUGAUUGAUGAAUGAUUGGAUUGAGUGAUGAUUGGUGAUUGAUGAUUAGUGAUGUUAGGAUAUGUUGGAUUGAUUGUUUAAAUUUGGAUUGGCUGAUAUGCUUAAUUGUUUAAUGUUUAAUUGUUUAACUCGGAUGGGCAGCCAAGUGAGGGGGAGGUUUUUCAAAAUUUUUAAAUUUUAGGAUUCACUAAGACAGGGGGAGUUUUCAUUUCAAUCAUCAAUUUCAUUUCAAACUUUUGUUUUGUCAUCAUCAAAAAGGGGGAGAAUGUUAUUCUUGGUUUUGAUGAUCACAAAAGUUUGUUUAUACAGACCAAGAAAGUGAACACUUUGAUCAGGUCUGUUGGAACAAAGAAAGCGUAUGUUCGUUUAUCUCCUGACUACGUUGCUUUGGAUGUGGCAAACAAGAUUGGAAUAAUAUGAAUGAAUUUAGUCAUUGUUUUGUUUUCGAUCAAAGAUAUUGUCUUUUAAGUAUGUCUAGUUUGUCAUUCUUGGUACUUUGAAAUAUUUGUCUAACCUUCCUCAAAUACAAGUGUUUUUUUGUCUAUCCAAGAAUCAGAUUCAAAUAUGUCAUGAAAUGUAAAACAACCAAAAUGAGAAGCAAAAACAGGACAAUCAGGUCGGACGGCCGAAAGGAAACUGUCGGACGUCCGAAAAGAUAAAGAACAUCAGGAAGGAAGCACCGUCGGACGCUCACAUGGAAGCAUCGGACGUCCGGAAGGAUCGGACGCUUGCCAUCGGACGUUAAUCAACCGCAUCGGACGUCCGAAAAAUUCCAAGAUAACUUGCUAGCUCUCGGCCCAAGGUCGGACGCUGUGCUGUCGGACGACAAAGAACUUAUCGGACGUCCGAACCUCAACUUGGCUAUCAUCGGACGAUUGGUUCGGACGAUGAUUCGAUCGUCGGACGUCCGACAGCCCCAACGGCUAGUUGACUCUUCAGCUGCCUUCUAUCCGUUGGAAGCAUUGAUGAAACCCAUUUCUGGAUCCCUUUAAAAUCAAACUGGUCUGAACGAAGUAGGGACUUUUGCUCACUUUGUUUACAAGUUCUCAAGGGAUAUUUUAGCUAGAAAAUAGUCUCCAAAGCAGAUUUGUAUUAAAGUGGUGUGAAUUUCUGUUGAGCAUUUCUUUUGUGGUUGAAAGGAUCUUUAGUGUAGCUUUGUUGAGGGUUUUCUGAGUGAUUGUAAAACUUCCUAGCUUGACUAAGUGAGGCUUAGGGCAAGGAGGAAGAGCUCCCUCCAUUGUACAUCUAGUUGAUCUUCGUUCAUCAAAGAGAAGUUGCUCUUCCUAGUGUUUAGUCUUCAAGUUUGGGUAAAGCUUGGUAGACACUUGGUUUGUUUCUCUAUUUUAUAUUUCUGUUUAAUAAAAUCUUCAUUGCUUAUCUAUACUUGCUUCUCUGAUUAAUAUUGCUAUUGUCUUCUAAUCUACUUGGUUGAUCAUUACUAAAAAGGAAGGUAAAUUUUCAUUAAAGAAAAAGUGCAUAAACUUGGUUAAGUUUUUAAUCAACCAAUUCACCCCCCCUCUUGGUUGUCUGUGGGACUUACAUAAAGCAUAGUAAAAUUUUAAACUAACACCUAGAAAAUAGCAAUCAUUUUGGAAACAAAUCCUGAGAUUUAUUAUAAUAUCACUUAACUUCUCUGAAGUUUUUAAAAUCUUACUUUCUUCCCCUGCCAACUUGGGAAGAUCAAGUGUUUCUAUCAAAGGUCACAAAUUUACAACAAUUACUGUUGCACUCUUUAUGACUAUUUAAUUGAAAAACCAAAACAAGAAGAGAAUUUUUAAAAGACCAAAAACUAAAGAUGAGAAAGAUAACCAAAUUGCUAUCCAAUAUUGGUCUAUAUUUCUUUGUAUCAACGUGGUGGUGGAAUAGUAAAAGACAUGGAUAAAUUAAAUUCUAGUUAAAGACAUGGGUAAUUUUUGUAGAAAAGUUUUGAGGAAAUCAAGAAAUUCUUUUAGAAAAUAUGUUCUAAUAUAGGAUAUAAUUUAAGUUAUACUAAAAAUUAAAAUAACCUCUUCAUACAUGUGGUUUGUAAUAUAAAUCCUACUUAUAGAAAAAAAAUUAUAUAAAUAAGUCAGAAUUUAAAAAAUUAGUCAAAAAUGUUCUAAUGACCAAAUAUAUAUCUAGGAAUAUUCUUUUUUUUUUGUUAGAACAUGAUUUGUUAUACAAGGUAAUAGUUAUUGUACAUCUACAAGAUUAUUCGUUAUUGCAUUUAUAGUUGCUCAUAUUUUCAACUUUUUACUUGUUAAAUUUAUUUUAUUUUUUAUUGUUGUUGUACGCUUAAUAAGUAGGAUAGCAUAAGAGUAGUAUUAGAACAAAAAUUUUAUCUUUCUUGCAUUUCCUUCAAAGGGACUAAAAUGUUAUGAAAAAUAUGAAUCCAAGAGAGGUAUGUGAGAUUUUAAAAAUUGAAAGAGUUCUAAGUGAUAUUUUGAGAAAUGUCAUGCGAGGUUUCCGAAAUCAUUUCCGACUUAUUAGUAUUGGACCAUUGGUAGGCUGUGUCGGACGAAGCAAAUCACAUGUCAAAUUUCAUUUGAUUUACGGCUGGAAGGCUAAGGAAGCUGUAGGUCCUGAAGCAAAAUUAGAUGGUUGCCAUAAAACAACAAAUCUUUUUAAAGGUUUUUUUUAACUAAAUAAAAUAUUCCCUCUCAAAUUAGUUUUCUUUUUCCAAAUUUCAGUUAUGUGAGUAAAUGAAAGCUUUUACAACCAUUAGUUCUUUUAAAAUAUUUUAAAGCGUAACUGCAUGUACACAUUCUAUAUUCAUUUGCCUCUUCUUCAGUUUUUAUACUCCAUCUAGGAUGUCUAAUCAUAAUUCCGUAAAAAAUUAAAAAACUAUAUAUAUUUUUCUUUAUAAUUAGUCAAUUAUAAAUUAGUAAAGUUCUAAUCAAUUUCAUCCAUUAUCUAACUUGCAAGAAAGGAAUAGAUAUCUCCUAAAUACAAAGUUCAAAAGGAAUUUCUAGUCUUUUAUAAUCACGUUCACAUGAUGUUUCGGUGGAUAUCCAUUUGUCCAUUUUCCGUUACAGAAACUUUACUUAUUACAAUCUUUUCUUUACACUCCUCUAAAAUAGUAUGAAGUAUUACCAUAAUUCUUAACAUAAUUAAAAUAGUAUUAAUUAUUCUUAAUAACUUUCAAAGUAUGUUUUAUGUUUAGUGUCUUACAUUCAUUAAAUUUAUUGUUUUAGUUCAUUAAAAUUCGAAGAUAAAAAGAAGUUAAUGCAAAUGCACGGCUGAAUAACUGGUGGUCUAAUUCUAUUGCUUGCUUAUCCACAAGAAUGACCACACCAACACUACAUUAAUACACUCAUAUUUCUUAAUUACUUGCAUUACUUAUUCUUUCUUCCCAACAAUUCUACAGCCCAUCAUCAUCAUUCCAAUUUUAAUUCAAUAAUCUUCAUACAACUCUGAACAUAUAACUACAUUUAAUAUAAAUUCGUGUCAUUCCUGCAUUUCAAUUCUCAAAAUCUUAUGGCAUGCCUUACUUUAUAAUGGUGUUUAAUUACUUAAGUUCAUAAACAAUCAUUAGUAUCAAAAUCAUAAACUUGUAUCGCACAAUAGGAUGCUCUUCGCAUCAUUAUCAGAAGUAAUUUCAAUUUCUUCGCAUAGUUUGUUUGCCCCAUCACUUAAGCACGGCAAGAAUUUUUUUUUAAAAAAUUUUAAAUAGCUGCAACAAGUUAUUAACAAAAGAUAUUAUGCUAGCUCUAAUACUAUGACGCUAUUCCCGUUCCUCUAGAGGAUUUUUCAGUCAACAAACUCCUUCAACUCCCUUCCUCAAGUUCUUUCUAGGGUUCUUUCUAUUUGUUUCUGUAAUGCAUUUUUUUGACAAAUUUUCAAUCCUAGUAUUUUCUCAGUAGAAGUAUCUUUCUUGCUUAGUGAGAGUUUUUGUUUUUUGUUUUUUUAGUUUUUAUUAGAUUUAAGUUUAUUCAAGUCUAAACUUUCUCGUAGGGCUUGAAAAUCUGUCCGGGGAAGGCUUACAAAUCAUUUACAACUACAGAGAUUUAUAUGCAUUUAAUUGUAAGAAAAUUGGGAGCUUUCUAGUAUUUUUUUUGUUAUUGGUUUCUCUGAUUUGAAGGAAGUCACUUCUAUUUGCAUUUCCAUUGCGUCUUUUUCAUAUAUUUGCUGCUAUUUGUACAACUUUUCUGUGAUUAAAUAAAAUUCCCUUCCUCGUUAAAAUAAAUGAAAGAAAAUAUGAAGGAGAAAUUAAAUUGAUCUAAUUGACAAUAUGUCUUUAUAACUAGAUGCCUUCUCAGAUAUUCUCAAAAACUUCCAUACUCUAACUAUCAUUAUUUUACCACAAUAGUACUUCUUUAACAAUUACUAGCAUUUCUAUGUUAUCAUUUGAACUGCUUCCUUUCCAUCUUUGGUACACUUAAAUUUGCAAUUAUCUCAUGAAAUUCUUAAAUUCAGUAACUUUCAACUACAUGUUAUGAUGAGAGAUAUUUGUUUGACAUGAUAUAAACCUAAUAAGAAAAGAAUUCAAUUUGAUAACACACGUAAGACAAUAUAUAUAGGUCCAUGUACAUAAACCAAAGAACAAAAUUAUAUCAAUUCAGUAAGCACAUUUAAUAAUAUUCCCUGGAGCCUUAAAGCAUAAGUUAAACAUUUUAUCUGGAAAUGUCUCCUAAGAAUCUUAUACGUGAUGAAGUAAUUAGGCAGAGAACUGGGAAACGGAAAGACUCGAGCAUAUGCGUUUUUUUUUUUUUUUUUUUUUUUGUGAAAUUGCAUAACAAAUAUGGUAAGUAGCACCAAUCCAGUGGGAUGGCCUAUUAUAAGUGCAUAUUUUGCAUGUUUUAAGUGUGUUUUAUUAUUUAGUUUUGGUGUGUUUUAACUACAUUUAUAGCUACUUAACUAAAUUUCUAGUGAAAAUAUGCUUAUGGUUAAAAUUUUAAAAAUUGCAUUUCUAUGGAUUUUAAUAGCGAUAACUUUAUUUUUUUUAUAGGUUUAAUAGUUCAAUCAUCAAUUGGAGUGAAUUGAAAAUAUACUUGGAUGAUUAUUGAUGAUUUCAAGUUGUUUAAAGAAGACAUGAAGUGCAAAAAUGAAAUGCAAACAAGAACAAAAGAAAGAAAGUUUUACAACUUUGACACCUUGUGAUAUUUCGGCUAUAUCUUGCACUACAAACAUCAGAUUGAGAUCAUUAUUAAGCAUUUGAAGCUAAGAGAUAUAUCUAUAUUUGUUAUGAAGACAUCAAAGUGCAAUUCAAUUUUUUUCUUUUUCAAAAAGUCGAAAUAUAGAAGUGCAAUUCUAUUGUCAAAUCUGUAGCAGAGUCUUGACCAGGUGAUGAAAUUUUGGUCAUUUCUCAAUCCACAGAGCUUCAAAUUGGAUGAUUCCUAAUGCAUUGAAAAGCUAACUCAAAAAGUUACAAUUUUUAUGUUUUGCACAAGAACUAGUUCAGCCUCCAUCAUCAAGAAAAAAUCAGUGAAAGUUAGGAAAAGCAGAGAAAGUAAAUUCGAGUUCGGAUAUAAACUAAACCCGACCUCGGAUAAACUUCUGUAAUCGGAGGCUACAUCUAAGAGGAAGAUCCGAGCUUGGAUCCCCAUGUUAUAGGCCUCAGAUCCUAAUGUGUAGUGAAGAUAAAAAUGGAGAAAACUGAAAUCCAAGGAGUAUUUAGAGCAAUCGAACCUCGGAUCCCCAAUUGCGAAUCUGCAACUUGUGCUCCAUUCACACAACCUUUUUUAUCACUUUUUCUACAAAGAUUCUGGCUGGAAAUGAGCAUAUGAGCAUGGAAGUUUUGAGAAGAAACCUUUGAGAUUUUCAAGAGUCGAAAUGCUAACUAGAAACAACUCAUCUUGAGCUUUAAUCUUUCUAUAAAUAGAGGCCUUGGAAAAUAUUUUUACAACUUUGGAAGGCUAGAAAAACUCACCAACAAUGUAGUCUUUACUAGAAUUUCCUUAGUUUCUUAGUUAGAGUAGAUUAGUAUAGUUAGGCUAGUUUAUCCACUCUUAUAUAAUGGUAAGAUUAGGAUGAAGAUGGAGAUGAAAAAGGAGAGGAUAAAACUCAUGUGACAAGGGCUAUCUCUUCUCCAUUAUCUUUUACAUUGGAUUCUUAAAUAUGGUUAAUAUGCAAGUUUUGGAAUUUGUUUUCAUGUUUUGCUAAAGUUUAUACCUAGAGUUAUGAAUGAACUUUUUAUAUCUUACUAGUGAUGUUUAUUUGGUUAUUUGAUGAUGUUAUUUUGAACAAGUUAUUUAUCACUUUUGCUUAUCUAAUCAUGAUUAGAUAAGCAAUUAAUUAUGAUAAUCUUAAAGUGUUAAAUUUGUAAUGAAAAUUGAAAUUUAGCACUAGUUCAAGAAAGUGAUAAACCUAUGGAAUACACUCACGAAAGUAGAGGUGCAACUUUGUAACUUUAGUGACUUGUUUCAUGUAAUUUCAUAGAAGAAAUGAGUUUGUAGUUAGUUUCAUAACUACGAAAAUAGGUAUGAAUUAACUAUUGGUAUAGUUGGUAUAUCGGUGAAAGCACGUAUCACGUAUAUUAGGAAAUUAUGUCAUAACUAGUCAAGAUAAUAGUAACUUAACCGAUAAUUUCAUUUGUAAAAGUAGUAAGGAAUUCCAUACCUCUAGGAGCUUUAUAUUGUCAUUUUUAUUACUUUUAUCUCAUGUUUGUAGUGAAAUUUUAAUUUCUUGCGCUUAUGAUAGUAUAAAUAAUAAAGGAGUUCAAAAAUCAUCGGUAAUUGACAAUCUUUCCUAUGGGAUCGAUACCUAAUACCCCUAUACUCAAUAAACGACUUGUAUACUUGCGAAAAAUCGUGUGUGGAGUAUUUAAAAUUAUAUAAAUGUAGAACUUGAAUGUGGAUAAACCAAUUAUUAUAUAUAUAUAUCCGGCGUUCAUUAGCUCUCUGCCAUUGAUGAGGGGAAUUGAUAGAAGAUGCUAAGAGGUAAGACGGCAGAAAACGCAUUGCUUUGAACUGUAAACUUGUGCAGAUUUGCGUGGCCAUGACACUACUUGGACGGUCGGACCAUUCAGUACUGACAGACCGUGCUGUAAGAAAGAGUGACAUCCACAGUCAACUCAAGGGCGGAGCCAUGUUAGAGAUCAAUAAUCAGAGGCUUGCAAAAUUUCGUAAUUUUUCAAUUUAGCUCACAUUUGCACUGACAAAUUUUGUAAAAAUUUCCUUUUGCUCUCGCAUUGCCCCUUAAAACAGCUAACGUAUUGGAAACGUAGAAUGGACCAGCUAAAUAACCAAGAUGCCACUGAUCACAAUAAUUUGCAUAGUGAGUUAUUGAGUGACUUCCCCGCCUUUGCUCAUUAUAAAUGCCGGCCCCCUCCACAUUCCAAACAUACUCAACCAGCUUCUGUGCUAUAUUUUGCUAUCUUCUGCCACCACCACUGCUCCCACAAAAUGGAAAGCUUUUCUCCCACUUGGGCUGCGUAUGCACUCGAAUCAUACGAACAUAUUUGGGUGGAAGAAAUGAAUUCACUUCUGCAGCAGCUAUUCAAAUCAUUGGGCAAGCCUGUCGUGUUGAAAGAUUAUCUUUCAAUAGGGAGUUUCAAGGUGAUUAGUAGGAUGAUCUUGGGGGAAAACAUACAUUGAUGAGUCUUAGAACUCAAUUGUCAUGCACGAAGAGUUCAGGCAAAUGAUGGACGAGCUAUUUUUGCUGACUGGUAUGUCUAACAUUGGUGAUUCCUUACCUUGGAUCGAUUCCUUGGAUUUGCAGGGGUAUAUCAAAAGGAUGAAAAUCAUGAGCAAGAAAUUUGAUAGGCUUCUGGAACAUGUUCUCGAUGAGCAUAAUGCCCAGAGGGAGGAUGAAGUUGAUUGUGUCAACAAGGACAUGGUGGACGUCCUUUUGGACCUUGCAGAUGAUCCCACUUUUGGAGGUAAAGCUAGAGAGGCAUGGAGUCAAGGCAUUGACUCUGGUAUAUGUUACUUACAAACUGCAUAAUGUGUGCUGUCAAGUUUUAAACGCCUAAAAACUUAGAAAGUAGUCAAUGAUCUUUUGAACUUGAAUACUCCCCAAAAUUUUCUUUGCUACAAAAAACUUGAGAGAAAAUAGUCAGAAUCUUUUGAGUUUGAUGAAAAUUUUUCAAUGGAGUCAGAAUUAACAAGAAAAUUUCUUUUUAAUCCUUCAAAAAGAAAUUGCUUUUGCUAAACGUACUCAAAUAAGUUAGUGACGAGUGCAGGGUAUACAUAUGAUAGGGUGUUAAUUGUUAGUAAUUUUAUUGUUAAUUUUCCCUUUUAUCUUUGUCAAAUAUUGUUUUAAUUAUUAAUAUUUACUUAUAUUUGGUAUUGGAGCCAAUUUCAGGGAAUGAAGCAGAAAACUACAAAAAAGAAGGGACUUUCUGAAGAUAAUUGAGACUUCAAAUAAGCCACAGACCUGGCCCACAUGGUGAUAUACGCGGACUGCAUUUCUUUUUUGCGGAUUAGGAGUAUCUUGGAGUGUUGAAGUGUUUGACUAUCAAGAGGAAACUAAAGAAAGAAGGACUUCAGAGAACUUCACUUUAUGUACACUCCUUUCUCAAUUUGUGCGAGGACCACGGAAAGAAGAAAGGCAUUAGUCAUUUGAAUUGAAAGGAAACAAACGUGCAAAGAGUUGUCUUUGUUCCUUAUUCGUGGGGACCACUGGAUAGAUAGCUUGAGUCAUUUCCUUUUGGCUAUAUAAGGACAAUAGUAAGAAAGACUAUGGAGAGUUUUUUUAAUAUAGUUUAGUUUUAUUCUUUCUUGGUUCCUUUGAUGGCCUGGACCUCAGUUAAAUUACUUGGAGAUUUUCUCAUGAUACGUGGCUAAGUUUUCCUAGUCGAAGGUCAAUUUGAGGACUCGGUUUCGAACAUCUGUGAGAUCUAAUUAUUUUAUUUACUUCUUUUAUUUAUUGGUAUUUGUGCGUUUUCUGAUUUAAUUGCUUAUGCUUGUUAUGUUAUUUGAAUGUCAAGGGCCCGAUAUUCGAAUUAACCUAAUGAUCUAAUGCCAAAUUAAUUGAUUGAAUCCGUAAUUGUUCAAUUGAUUAAUACCAGUGGCGACUAGCGUGAUUGGUUUCAUGUUAGGGAAACGUAUGAUCUAACUUAAACAAACCCUCGUAGCGUGUUUGUUGGUUAGGAUUGGGCUUUUCUAAUUAUUAAUGCAAUCGAGUAAUUCAAUCCUAUUGUCGUACCUAGGGUUAUUUCUUGGUUAGAGAAAUAGUUAACGGUCGUACCUUAACUAUCGAGAAAUUAAGGAAAGACUGGUUGUUCAUCGCGUGUAUGGCAACUAUAACCAAUUUAUUAAUAAGUAAUUGAAUUAUCUUUGCGUCGAUGAUCAGUUGCAUGGACCGUAUCUGAAAAGUUGCACCUUUGGCUAGAGUCAUAUUGGUUAUUGAUUAAUUUCUAUUAGUUGUUUUAUUGGUUAGUUAAUUAGUUAUUUUAUAUUCUCCAAAAAAACCCCACAUACUUUGGACUUUAAAAUAAACGAAUUAUCCCCAGUCCCUGUGGAUUCGACCCUACUUAUCACUAUCUACAGAAAUUAUAUUUUAUUUAAGUAGGUAUUUAUUAUUGCACAGGUUUGACACCCUGUCAAUUUUUGGCACCGUUGCCGGGGACUGGUGUCAGAUUAAUUUGUUUCUUUUUGAAUUCAUCUUGUUUUCAUUUUUUUUUAUUUUUCUCUUAUUUUUUUAUAUAUAGUUUAUGACUUCUAACACUCCGUAUUUUGGUGAUAGACUGGAUUUUGUUUCCAGGGAAGACAAUGAGGCUUGUUUUUUUUUUUUCUAAAUUUGCAUAUUCAGAGGCACUAAACUCUCUUAUUGAAAGAAUGGCUGAUGCAACCUGUGGAAUUUGUUAUGUCAGGGAUCAUUCAACCGGUAUGUGCCCCGAAUAUCAAGACUACCUGAGUGAUUAUCUCACAAAAAAAUUUGGAGAUUCUUCACCUCGAUCUCAAACGUGGUAUGACUCUUAUUCAAACGGGUAUGAUCAAGGAUGGUGGGAUAACUCCAGUUAUAAUUAUACAACAGGGUCAAUGAAUUUUCAGCAGUAUGAGUCUCAAGAAUCAUCAUCUAUGUCAGGUAUGUCUUUUGAAGAAAUAGUUGAAUCAAUAGCUACUAAUACAUAUCAAUUCCAACAGGAGACACAAAUGAGAAAUGGGAUGAUGAAGGAUGCAAUGAGUAAUCUGGCAGAUCAAAUAUGUCUAUUGACAUCUAGAAUAAAUCGAUUGGCUUCUCAAAUUGAAAAAUUGCCCUCGAAAAUCAUUGUUGAUUUUGAAGAAAAUGAGAGUUCAAUUUGCUUGACUAGUGAUGAGGAGAUGCAAGAGUGUCAAAAUGAGAGAUCUACAGAUGCAGUUUAAAAAGAAGUCGAAAAGGAAGAAAUGGAACCCCAACCGCAACCCAUUCAAGUGAAAGAAUCCAGUGAAGAAUCAUCAAAUGUGGUGACACCACCUCCAUUCCCUAACCCGCAUUUUCUUAACUCUUACUCUAUGAUUUCUGUUAAUGAGAUUGAUUUUGCUAUACCGAAAGUUUUUGAGUCUCAUGGCAGAAAUAAGUUAAGAGUAGCUAUGGUCAAAUAUCUUGAACCGUUGAGUGCUCUUGAUGAAGGAGUGGAUGAAGAAUUGAGAUCACUGCUUGAUUAUUUGGCGCCAUCAACUAGUCCAUGGAAGACCGUAGCUCGUGUGCUCAAGGAUUACUCUAUUUACGAGGGCUAUCAGGACUAUAUAGAGGAUGAAGCAUUGAAACGAGUCACAAGAUUUUGUCCUCCCUAAGCAAACAUGAUAAUAUCUAGCCAAAAACGUUAAAGAAAGGCGCUUUUUGGGAGGCAACCCAAAUAUUGAUUUUAUUGUUUUUCGUUGUUAAAUUCUUUAAUUAUGCCGUUUCUUAUUUAGGUUGUGGUCGGUUUUAAUGUUUUCCUCCACUGUGAUCAGGACAGCAAUCUUGGCGUGCCCACGCGGUGUUUAUAACUCCUGAAGUCAGUGGACAUUUACCAAUCUUGGCGUGCCCACGUCAUGUUUGACGACCCAAAAGCUAAGAAAAAAAAAUUUAUUAUUUAUUUAUUUAUUAUUAUUAUUAUUUCUAAAAAAACAAAAAGGAUUAAAGUAUUUUAGCAAUUACAAUUUUCGAAAUUUGAAUUCAAAAAGGAAAAAAAAACUGAAAAAAAAGAAGAAAAAAAAAACAAAAAUCCACAAAAACUAUUUUUUCUUUUCUUUUUCUCCUUUCUUUCUCUUUUCUUCUUUUCUUCUUUCUUCUUUCUUUCUUUUUUUUCCUUUUCUUUCUUUCUUCCUUCUGCCCCCGCUGCUUUCCCUUUUUCCCUUUUUCCUUCGUUUCUUCCUCCAUUGCCGCCGCCGAACCCAGCUUCCUAGCACGACUACCACCUCGCAGCUCUACCGCGCGCCAGCCCGCCGCCAACCGUCGCUGCCCGCUUCUCCCACCCGCUACCAGCUCGCGGCCAAGCUCCUCUACCGCGCCUCCAGGCCGUCGCCCUGCUCCGCGAGCUCCACCGCACACGCCCCUCCCUCUCCAGCUCCACUUCACCCACAGACCACGGCCGCACUCUUCUCACCUAGCGUCCUACCACCAUCGCAAGCUCCACCCCAGCUUACCACCACCACCUCCCUCUGCUCUCUCUCCACUUCACACCAGAUCACGGCCAAUAGCUCCUCCUCGCAGCCCCCAGCUCCUCCACUAUAGCGACUCCGUGCGCUCCGCCGCUGCUCCACUGCUCCACCACCCAUGGCCAUCUGCUUGGUGUCUCUGGCAUGCAACAGAGGUACUUGUUUUUCCCAAUUUAUUGGCUAAUUUUCUAAGGUAAAUCACUUAUAUUUGGGGUACUAUUUCUAGAAUAGAUCUCUAGAGUGAAUUGGACACAGGCUUUGGGGUCUAUGUUGAACUUUGGUUUUCGGGUCCCUGCUAAAUUAUUUUACUGAAUUUUUUAUUCCCUAUGACUGUUGAUUUAAGUUGCUAAAUUAUUCGGGCCUCUGCUGAAUAUUAGUUGGCAGAGUUGUGCAUUUAUUUGUUCAGUCCAGCAACUAUAAUACUUAGUGCAUUGAUUGCUGAUUCAUGGUCGUAGUUACUAUCCCAAUUCAUUCAUUUGGGACUUCUUUUAGCCCUUGAGAUUGAUAUUUUCUGGACUCUCUGAUAGCUAUUUUAUUUGGAAGUUAUCGGGGGUUGACUUUGGGGUUUUGCUGCUUUUGUUGGGCGUUUGUUGUGAUUUUGGGUUGGGCAUUUAGUUGCUGUUUCUGUACACCAUCGGUUGCGAUUUCUAAGAGGUUCUUGUGGCUGAUUUAAUUUUGCUCUGAUUCCAUUUUUGUUGUGCACCAUUGACUAUUGGGCUUUUGUGCUUAAAGUGUUGCUCCUGCUAGAUCUCCGAACUGUUGCUGGAGUUACCAUUUUCUUGGAUCAAAUACUGAUUUUGGCAGGUUGAAUUGGGGAAUUGACUGUCCAAUUGGAGGCAGCUGUUACCAUUUUGGGACCAAUUGUGUCUAUUUUGCUGUGAUUUGUGUCUAAUUGUGGGUAAUUUGCUUGUUAAAUUGGGAGGUGCCUAUAACGCUUAAAUUUGCUUAUUGAAGUUAGUUGCCUCUGAUUGCCUUGUUUAGGAGCAUUUUAUCCUUUUGGUUUCCUUUACUAAGCUAUUUGGAGCACUUGUUGCAUGAUUGGACUGCCUUGAUUCUGAAUUUGACUACAUUUGGACCACAGGGGCUCAUUGAUUGCAUUUGUUAUUAGUGUUGAGGUAUUCGUAUAACCUGUGGGUGAUUGAAUUGUGCCUAUUGUUCAUUGGGUUGGUUUUAAACAAAAAAUUGUUAUUACUUUAAAAUUCCUGUUUCCAUUAUUUGUUGGCAAUUGUAGUCCCUUGUGAUUAGAGUGACAUCUAGAGAUCAUGGUAAGGCCAAGAUCCGCUUCUAGGUUAAGGACACCUAGACACUCGCAACCUCCUCCUACCCCAGGGGCUGACGAAUGGCACCAGGUCCAGAUGCGAGUUGAGCGACUAGCGACUCGGAUGACCCACAUUGACGUCAACCUGCAUCACAUGCGCAGAAUUUGGCAGCAUUUAUGCCCCAUGCAGGCCUUGAUCCUCAAUUUCCACCUGAACCGCCCCUGUUUUGAUGAUUUCAAGGAAGUACCGUUGCCCCUCUCUUUUCUUCUGUUUUUACAUUAUCACAUUGAGGGCAAUGUGUGACUUAGGUGUGGGGGGGUCAGUUUGGGUGCUAGUAUUUUUAGUUUUUAGGUUCUAGAGGUUUUUCCUUUGUUUUAGUUUGAUAUUUAUCUCCUUUUUCGUUUAUUUUCUUUUCUUUUCUUUUUCUAGUGGUCAGUCUUCAUAUGAAUACCAAGUUUGAUGCUGGAUUGUUGUCUCUAAUUCUGCUAUUGCCAAGUUUAUUAAUAAAAAGGUAUCAAGUUGAUGUGGUUGAGUUCAGGAACAUCUCUUUGGUGAAUAUCAAUAAUUACUUAACUUUUCCAAUUUUUGGUUAAUUUUUCUAGGCAUAGGGAAUGAUUGUUGGCAUUUUUCAUGUGAAUUGGUCCAAUUAUUAAUUUUUGUUCUCCAUGUCUGGAAAUUUGAGGCUGGCUGCUGUUAUUCUUGUGUUGCUUUUAGAUAUCGUGCUACAUGGUUGCAAAUAAGAGUGACUGUACACCGCUAGUGGUUACUACUGAGUAACCGGGGAUCUUCACUUGAAGUGUUGAUUUUCGUGUCAAAAGGUAGUAGUUGCUAUCAGUGCGUGGUCCCGUAGCAAUUGGAGCUGAGUAACCGGGCUCCUCCUCUAGCAAAUGUUGGAGUUCGCGUCAAAAGACUCUAAGGGCUAUAGACUAAGUCUUUUGUUAUUCAAAAAAAAAAAAAGAACAAAAAAAAAUGAGGAAAAAGAAGUGAAGUAAAGAUUGUGUUAGUAUGUGAAUAAGUCAGCUUGCCGGUUUGUGAUCUUAAUGUCGAGAUUUUGGUUAAUAGCUGGACCAUUUACUGAUAAAUGUGAGCAACCAUUCCUUUUUCUUAGAUUAGUUUGCUUUAAAUUGGAGGAGUUGGUGGUUGGGAAGCUAACCGGAGUGGUCUUUCUUGGAUCUUAACUGUGAUGCGUGAUAUAUGUUUUUCUAGGUAUUUUGGCAAUAUGAUAGUUAGAGCAAUAGCCAUUGUCAAAUUUUGGUGUUCAAGUGCUGUUCUUAUGCUUGAGGGCAAGCACGAUUUAGUGUGGGGGGAAUUGAUAGGGUGUUAAUUGUUAGUAAUUUUAUUGUUAAUUUCCCCUUUUAUCCUUGCCAAAUAUUGUUUUAUUUAUUAAUAUUUACUUAUAUUUGGUAUUGGACCCAAUUUCAGGGAGUGAAGCAGAAAACUACAAAAAGGAGGGACUUUCUGAAGAUAAUUGAGACUUCAAAUAAGCCACAGACCUGGCCCACAUGGUGAUAUACGCGGACUGCAUUUCUUUUUUGCGGAUUAGGAGUAUCUUGGAGUGUUGAAGUGUUUGACUAUCAAGAGGAAACUAAAGAAAGAAGGACUUCAGAGAACUUCACUUUAUGUACACUCCUUUCUCAAUUUCUGCGGGGACCACGGAGAGAAGAAAAGUCAUUUGAAUGGAAAGGAAACAAACGUGCAAAGAGUUGUCUUUGUUCCUUAUUCGUGGGGACCACUGGAUAGAUAGCUUGAGUUAUUUCCUUUUGGCUAUAUAAGGACAAUCGUAAGAAAGGCUACGGAGAGUUUUUUUAAUAUAGUUUAGUUUUAUUCUUUCUUGGUUCCUUUGAUGGCCUGGACCUCAGUUAAAUUACUUGGAGAUUUUCUCAUGAGGCGUGGCUAAGUUUUCCUAGUCGAAGGUCAAUUUGAGGACUCGGUUUCGAACAUCUGUGAGAUCUAAUUAUUUUGUUUAUUUCUUUUAUUUAUUGGUAUUUGUGCGUUUUCUGAUUUAAUUGCUUAUGCUUGUUAUGUUAUUUGAAUGUCAAGGGUCCGAUAUUCAAAUUAACCUAAUGAUCUAAUGCCAAAUUAAUUGAUUGAAUCCGUAAUUGUUCAACUGAUUAAUACCAGUGGCGACUAGCGUGAUUGGUUUCAUGUUAGGGAAACGUAUGAUCUAACUUAAACAAACUCUCGUAGCGUGUUUGUUGGUUAGGAUUGGGCUUUUCUAAUUAUUAAUGCAAUCGAGUAAUUAAAUCCUAUGAUCGUAGUUAGGGUUAUUUCUUGGUUAGAGAAAUAGUUAACGGUCGUACCUUAACUAUCGAGAAAUUAAGGAAAGGCGCGUGUAUGGCAACUAUAACCAAUUUAUUAAUAAGUAAUUGAAUUAUCUUUGCGUCGAUGAUCAGUUGCAUGGACCGUGUCUGAAAUGUUGCACCUUUGCCUAGAGUCAUAUUGGUUAUUGAUUAAUUUCUAUUUAUUUCUAUUAGUUGUUUUAUUGGUUAGUUAAUUAGUUAUUUUAUAUUCUCCAAAAAAUCCCCCAUACUUUGGACUUUAAAAGAAACGAAUUAUCCCCAGUCCCUGAAUUAUCCCCACUAUCUACAGAAAUUAUAUUUUAUUUAAGCAUGUAUUUAUUAUUGCACAGGUUUGACACCCUGUCAACAUAUAACAAUUAGUUCAUUUCACAAUCAAAUUUUAUAUUUAUAACAUUCUAAAUUCCUUAGAAGCGAUUUUUUUGCAAGUGCAUGAGUUGUGAUUGAGUAUAUGAUAUUAAGGGUCGAACCUACAGGGAAGAUUUUCAAAUAUUAUGGAUUUUCGAACUCCUUUAUUAUUUAGAUUAUCAUAAGUGCAAGAAAUUGAAUCUACACUAUAAAUAUGAAGUAAAAGUAUUAAAUAUAACAAUAGGAAACUCCUAAAGGUAUGGAAUUCCUUACUACUCUUGCCAAUAAAAUUACCGGUUAAUUGAAUGUUAUUAUCUUGGUUAGUUAUAGCGUAAUUUCCUAAUGUAUGUAAACCUACUCUCGAAGUGAAUCAAUUAUAUUUAUAGGUAAACCAUACUUACUCUCGUAGUUAUAAAAUUAAGUAUAAGUUCAUUUCUUCCAUGAAAUUAUAUGAAACAAGUCACUAAAGUCACAUAGGUGCACCUCUACUCUCAUGAAUGUACUCCCUAAGUUUAUCAUUUUCUUAAACUAGUAUUAAAUUUCAAUUCUCACUGCAGAUUUAAUACCUUAAUAUUAUCACAAUUAAUGGCCGAUUAAUCGUGAUUAGAUAAGCAAAGUGAUAAAAUAACUUGUUCAAAAUAAUAUCAUCAACUAACAAAAUAAACACCACUAACAAAAUAUAGGAAGUUCAUCGAUAACUCUAGGCAUAAACUUUAACUAAAUAUGGAAACAAACACCAAACUUGUAUUAUAGCUAAAUAUAAAAUCAAAUACAAAAGAGAAAGUGUUAGGAGAGAAGUCACCCUUGUCGCAUGAGAUCCAACUCUCCAUCUUUGCUUUUCAAAUCUUCAUUCAAAUCGAACUACAAACACAAAAAGGAUAAACUACACUAACUAUACUAUACUAAUGAACUAAGAAAAACUAAUGAAAACUAUAUUUUUGUGGAGUUUCUCUAGUCUUCCAAAGUUAUCAGAAUGUUUCUCAAAAGCUGCUAUUUAUAGAGAAUUCAAGCUCAAUAUGAGUUGUUUCUUAAUUGGCAAGUUUGGCUUUUGAAUUUACCAAGAAUUAUUUUCCAAGUUUCCACACUUUUCUUGGUCAGAUACAGCCUUACUGGAAUUGAGUUGGAAAGUUGUGUGAACAAAGAACAAGUUGCAACCGAAAAUGAUGAAUAUACGAUGACGUGCGCGGGGUAUACAUAUACAAUAAGUUUAUCCACAAUCAAGUUUUAUAUUUAUAAUUCCUAAAUAUCCUACACGGGAUUUAUUGCAAGUAUACGAAUCGUGAGCGAGUAUAGGGUAUUAAGGGUCGAUCCCACAGGGAAGAGUGACAAUUAUCGGUGUUUUUUGAAUUCUUUUAUUAUCUCAACUACCAUAAACAUAAAAUUAAUGAAAAUAAAACUAGAAAACUCCUAGAGAUAUGGAAUUCCUUACUACUCUUGCAAAUGAGAUUACCGGUUAAGUGAAUGCUAUUAUCUUGGUUAGUUAUGGCGUAAUUUCGUAAAGUAUGUGAAACCUACUCUCGUAGUGGAUCAACUAUACUUGUAGUUAUACUAUACCUACUCUCGUGGUUAUGAAAUUAACUACAAUCUCAUUUCUUUAUGAAAUUACAUGAACAAGUCACUAAAGCCACAAAUGUGCUCCUUUACUCUCGUGAGUGAAAUCCCUAGGUUUAUCACUUCCUUGAACUAGUGUUAAACUCCAAUUCUCAUUGUAAACUUAAUACCUUUAGAUAAUCACAAUUAAUGGUCUAUUAAUCAUGAUUAGCUAAGCAAAAGUGAUGAAUAACUUGCUCAAAAUAAUAUCAUCAAAUAACCAAGUAAACAUCGCUAACAAGAUAUAGAAAGUUCAUCCAUAACUCUAGGCAUAAACUUUAGAAACACAUAUAAAAACAUAAAUCGAAACUUAUAUUAUAGAUAAACAUGAAUUCAAAUACAAAAGAGAAAGUGAUAGGAGAGAAGUCACCCUUGUCACAUGAGCUCCAACUCUCCAUCUUUGCAUCUCCAAUUUUCAUCCAAAUCUAACUACAAAAACAAGAUGGAUAAACUACACUACCUAUAUUAUAUUACUCUAACUAAUGAACUAAGGAAACUCUAGUGAAAGUUACAUUUUUUGUGAGUUUCUCUAGCCUUCCAAAGUUUUUUAAAAUGCCCUCCAAAAGCUUUUAUAUAUAGAGGAUUCAAAAGCCAAAUGAGUUGUUUCUAGUUGUCAUUUUGAAACUCUCUAAGUCUGUUUCUCAAAGUGUCCAUGCAUCAUAUGAUCAUUUCCAGUCGGAAUCUUUGCAAAAAAAGUGAUAAAAAAGGUUGUUGAUAAGAGUUUAUUUUACGUAUUUUUAGUGUGUUUUAUUAGUUAAUUUUGGUUUGAUUAUUUAGUUUUAUAACUAAAAUAACUAAGGUUUUGGUAAAAAAACUACAUUUUAUGUUAAAAUGGCUAAACAUUGCAUUUUAUGGAUUUUUAUGGUAAAAAAACUUCAUAUUUUGUAGGUUUAAUGAUUCAAUCAUCAAAUGAAGUGCAUUGGGAAGAUAUUUGGAUGAUUGAAGAUGGAUUAAAGUGGUGAAAAAAAAAUAUGAAGUGUAAAAGGAAAAAUGCAAGAAAAGUCAGGUUUAACAACUCUGACACGUUUUGGUAUUUUGACUAUAUCUGGAGCUACACAGAUCGGAUCAAGGUGAUCUUGGUACCAUUUUGAAGCUAAGAGAUAUAUCUACAUUUGGUAUGAAGACAUCAAAGUCCAAUUCAGCCGUUUUCAUAGUCCAAAAGUUGAAAUACCGAAAUUCAACUCAGCUGUCCAAAGUGGAAAACAGAGCUCCGACCAGUCUAUAGUAUUUCGGUCAUAUCUCAGGCUACAAAGCUCCAAUUUGGAUGAUUCUUGAAGCAUUGAAAAGCUAACUCAAAGGGCUACAACUUUGCUGUUUUACACAAAAGCUAGUUCGGCCUUUAUGAGACAAAAUCGCAGAUUAAGUAAGGCCAAAGUGAAUACGCGAGUACACAAAACGUGACUUGUAACCGCGUUUUGUGUAGGCGCGUUUUCUGGCCGAAAUUCUGCAAUUUGACUCAGCCAUUUCCCUUGUGUUCAUACCACUUUCCAGCUAUAAGAUGCAAGGGAAUUCGGUGCACAUGCUUCAGAAGACAAAAUGGCAGACAAUAUGGCUUAUUUUCAAGUCAAAAACAAUGGUUUUUGACUAUCUUAACAAAAUGAGAUUUGAAGAAUCAUAGCAGCAAAUUUGGACUGGGAGAAGAGGAACUUUUCAUGAGUUUAUAUGCAGAGACAGAGAGCCAUUCAUUCAUUAUCAUACGGGGAGAGAACUUGAAGUGCAGAAAUGUAGUUCUUUCAUUUCCUUAGUGUAGGAUAGUGUAGUAAGUGUAGUUAAUCCAUUCUUGUAUAAUAGCUAGAUUAGGAUGAAGAUGGAGAUAAAGAAGAAGGAGUUGAAGCUCAAGUGACAUGGGUUAUCUCUACUCCAAUUCUUUAUCUUUUGUAUUGGAUUCUUAACUAUGGUUAUAAUGCAAGUUCUGGAAUUUAUGUUUAUUAUUUGUUUCUAAAGUUUAUGCCUUGGGUUUGGUUGAACUUCCUAUGAUUGUUAGUGUUUAUCAUUUGGCUAUUUAACUGCUAUGAUUUGAGCAAGUUAUUUAGCACUUUAGCUCUUUAAAUCAUGAUUAAUCUGGUACCAUUAAUUAUGAUUAUCUAAGGUGUUAUUUCUACAAUGAAAAUUGAGAUUUAACAUUAGUUCAAGAAGUGCUAAACAUAGGGAAUACACUCACGAGAGUAGAGGUGCACCUAUGGGGUUUUGGUGAUUUAUUUCAUGUAAUUUCAUUGAAGAAAUGAACUUGUAACUAAUUUCAUAACCAUGAGAAUAGGUAUGGAUUGGUUAUUAGUAUAAUUGAUUCACUACGAAAGUAGGAUUCAAAUGCAUAAGGAAAUUACACCAUAACUAGCCUAGAUGUAGUACUCAAUGAUCCAAAUAUAACACUUGCAUGAGUAGUUAGGGAUACCACAACCUAAGGAGCUUUUAUUUGUUAUUUUGUAUAAUUUCAGUAGGUUAAAUUUCUUAUAAUUCAUUGAUAGUCUAAAUAAUAGAGAAGUUUUAGUAAUACCGGUAAUUGUUCACUCUUCCCUAUGGGAUCGACCCGAUAUAUACCCUAAACUACUAGUUGAUCUGUAUACUUGCAGUGAACGGGUGUAAUUCGAUUUUUUAACUUGUACGUAUGUAAAAUACCCGUCAAGUUUUUGGCGCCGUUGCCGGGGAAGAUUUGGCAAUAUCGGUGUGAAGAGCAACUUUAUUAGUUUAGACAUUUUAUUAGUUAUAGUGUGAAUGUUGUUUUCUGUUAUUUUAGUGUUUUAAAUGUGUAUGUGUUUUAUCACCUAUUCUUCUUACUAAUUUUGCUCUUAAGUUGUUUAAAAGUAAUUUUAGGUGAUGAGAAAGAUAGGUCAAUUUGGAGGACAAUGCUUGAGAAGUGGAAGAUUGGCAAUGGAUGGUUAUCAAGUGCAAAGCUCCUUCAACAGAGGUAACCAAAAAUUUACUGAAUGUAUGUCUUUUGAAGAUGGUUUAAGGUGCUUAAAGGCUAAAUUUGAUGUUAUGAUAUUACAAGUUCAAAUGGACACAAUUAAGCAUGAAAUUGAGCAAGGGAGGAAUGUUAAUGCUUUUAAUUCUUAUCAUGUGAUUUGUGACUUGUGUGGAGGUUAUCAUGCUACUAAUACAUGUAUGCAAGCACAAAAUGUGGAUUAUUAUUAUGAAUUCGAGCAUUACAAUCCUUGUUUUGAUCAAUAUAGUGCUAAUUGGAGCAAUUCUCCUGCUUAUGGUUGGGAUAAUCAAUUUACUUAUAGUAAUUCUUCAUAUUUUUAUGAUUACCAAUCUGAAUGUGUCCAAUAUGAAUCAAAAUCAUCUUGGGAGUUGGCAAUAGAAAAAGUAGCUAAUGAUUCUAAGCCAUCUUGGGAGUUAGCUUUAGAAAAAUUAGCUAAUGCAACUUCUGACCGUUUUGAUAGGAUUGAGGAAAGAAUAGAUGAAUUAGCUUCUCACUUUGGUAGAAUACAUGAGCAAUUGAAUGCAUUGUGUGAAGUUAUUUUCUCUAAUAAUUUGCAAAACGAUCCUAGCAUGAAUGGUGGGAAUGUUGUAUGUGAAAAUGGGUUGCAUUUUGAUGAAAAUGAUGAAUCUCAAUUGUGUUUCAAUGAGCAAAUGUCCAUUUCACAUGAUAAUAUUGUUGGAACUAACUUUGAACCUCAAGAGGUGAGUUUUAAUGACUCAUUUUUCACCCCUCUUGAGGAGUGCAUUGAAAGUAUAGGUUCUAAAGGUAUUCCUGCCCAAGAUACUCUCAUGACAUUUCUUUUGGUAAGUUCUCAAGUGGUGCAUAUUCAAGAUAAUAUUUAUGAAACACUUGGAUUAGGUAAGUCACUUCUAUUUCUCACAUCAUUAGAUCAUGUGGCUUUUGCUAUAAAGUCACCUUUUAAUGAUCCACCACGACCUAAAAUGGUGGAUUAUUCUUUAACCAAGCCUCCUUGAUAAUGAGGUUCAAUAGUCGAGCCAACGACUAUAAAUAAAAGCGCUUAUUGGGAGGCAACCCAAUAUAUAUAUAUAUAUAUAUAUUUUUUUUUAGCUAUUUAUGUUAUUUUGGGGUGAUUUUAUGUUUACAGUAUGAGUUUGAGUUAUUUUGAUGUUUUUCAUUUGUAGGUAUUGGAAAUGAAAGCAAAAGUGACCAAAUGAGGUGAAAAAGGCGAAAUUUGAUCAAGGAACUCAACCCCUCGAUUUGAGUAAUUGUUGUUUUUGAUUUGUUAGAAGGGGUUAAAAUGCAUAUUUUGAUCAUUUUACAUGUGCAUGCAUUGAGAAUUUUAGCAAACAAAUGAUCUAUGAUGCAUUUUGAAAAUUUGGGGUAUCAUUUGUAAUUAUUCUUAAGUUAAAUUUCUGCUAAAUUUCGCAGCAGAAAAUGCAUUUUUCUAAAAAAACGCGCCAGUGAAUCGCGUUUUCAUAGAAUCGCGUUUUCAAUUCUGCGCCUAUAAUGAAGAAAACGCGCCUUAAAAAUGCGACAGAAAGUCGCGUUUUCCAGCCUGAUCAAAAAUUGAAAACGCGCCUUUAGAAACGCGACAUUAAAUCGCGUUUUUAAGCAUAGCCGCGUUUUCGAUCCUGCAAGAUAUGUGAAGAAACGCGACUUCAAAAAACACGGCUUGGUGGCGCGUUUUGAUGAGUCACGUUUUCUGAGCGAAAAUGCAGCUUCCUUGAUUCUCUUUUUCUUCUUUUUCUCAUAUAUUUUCUUGUACCUUGAGUUGCUUAUUGUAUUUUUUAUAGGUACAUCACCAAAACAAGAGCUUGAAGUUACGGAUCGCCGUUUUGAUGUCUUAAGCCUUUGUUAUCACUUUUGUUUCUCAUUUUCCAUUUUUAGGUUUACAUCACUAAUGGUUAUCCAAUGGAACUCAUGAAGCGUUGGAGAUACACGGACAAUGGAUCUUGAAGCUUCAUAUUCAAUCACAACAAUAGGGGAGUAUUACUUUCUUCAUCUUAAUUUCCCUUUUUACACAUUGAGGACAAUGUGCAUGUUAAGUGUGGGGGGAAGAAUUGAGAUUAUAUACAUUGUAUGUGAUUGAAUUAUUAGUUGCAAAUAUUGGACUUGUGUUAAAAUUCAAAAUUUUUCUAACAUCUUGUCCAAAAUUGCAAAUUUGCCCCAAAAAUUUUAAAAAUUUAAAUUUCAUCCAAAGGGGUAACAAAGUUCCAUACCAUUAGUAGUUCAAAUUCCUUCUACAUUUGAGAUAAAUAUAUGUGGUUUAAGCACUUCUUUUCUCAUUUAACUUGGAAAUGACUAUUAUGUGAUUAUAAUUUUUGCAUUUGUAAGAAAGUAUAUCUUUUAAAGUGGAGAAAAUUAUGCCUAUAUUUUUUUUUGCAUAUUUGAUGAAAUUUCUUCGCUUUAUUUGAUUUUAUAAGUUAAGUGAUAAAUAUGGUCAAUAAGUGCAAUACUCUUCUCAUGAUUAUUCUUUUGAGGAAUUUAUUAUUAUCUUUGCUGUAAAAAGAAAAAAAGAAAAAAAAGUGAAAAAAAAGAAGAAAAAAAAAUUUAUUUAUUCUACUCCAAUGAUUCUUGUACUUAGUAACCGGGAGUCUUCAUCUACAAAUGUCGACUUUCGCGUAAAACGGUACUUGAAUUAAGAGUAUGCAAAGCAACUUGAGUAUGUGAAGUGUUGAGUAACCGGUGAUCUUCAUCUAAAAAUGUUGAUCCUCGCGUAAAAAUAUACUUUCACAACUUAAGUAAUAUUAGCUAUAUUAUAUAAAUAAAUCCCUUUUUAAAUUAAAUAAGAAGAUGAUCAUGGGUUUAGAAAGCAUAUUAUUGACCAUAUAAGUUACUUACUUGUAAGAUUGGGUAAGGAUGAAAAAUGGAUUUGAACCUGUUAUAAUUACGGUAUAAUUGGCUCUCCUUUACUUGAUAUUAUGAGUACUUGAAUUUAAUUGAAUAAUUGCAUAAUGGUUAUUUACUUUGUUUUGAGGAAAUGAAGUUGAAAUGCUACAUAUGUUUAUUUUCAACUUUUGGAUCAUGGUUGGUUUGUAUUUCUUAUUGCUUGAGGACAAGCAAUGAUUCAAGUGUGGGGGUAUUUGAUAAGAGUUUAUUUUACGUAUUUUUAGUGUGUUUUAUUAGUUAAUUUUGGUUUGAUUAUUUAGUUUUAUAACUAAAAUAACUAAGGUUUUGGUAAAAAAACUACAUUUUAUGUUAAAAUGGUUAAACAUUGCAUUUUAUGGAUUUUUAUGGUAAAAAAACUUCAUAUUUUGUAGGUUUAAUGAUUCAAUCAUCAAAUGAAGUGCAUUGGGAAGAUAUUUGGAUGAUUGAAGAUGGAUUAAAGUGGUGAAAAAAAAAUAUGAAGUGUAAAAGGAAAAAUGCAAGAAAAGUCAGGUUUAACAACUCUGACACGUUUUGGUAUUUUGACUAUAUCUGGAGCUACACAGAUCGGAUCAAGGUGAUCUUGGUACCAUUUUGAAGCUAAGAGAUAUAUCUACAUUUGGUAUGAAGACAUCAAAGUCCAAUUCAGCCGUUUUCAUAGUCCAAAAGUUGAAAUACCGAAAUUCAACUCAGCUGUCCAAAGUGAAAAACAGAGCUCCGACCAGUCUAUAGUAUUUCGGUCAUAUCUCAGGCUACAAAGCUCCAAUUUGGAUGAUUCUUGAAGCAUUGAAAAGCUAACUUAAAGGGCUACAACUUUGGUGUUUUACACAAAAGCUAGUUCGGCCUUUAUGAUAGACAAAAUCGCAGAUUAAGUAAGGUCAAAGUGAAUACGCGAGUACACAAAACGUGACUUGUAACCGCGUUUUGUGUAGGCGCGUUUUCUGGCCGAAAUUCUGCAAUUUGACUCAGCCAUUUCCCUUGUGUUCAUACCACUUUCCAGCUAUAAGAUGCAAGGGAAUUCGGUGCACAUGCUUCAGAAGACAAAAUGGCAGACAAUAUGGCUUAUUUUCAAGUCAAAAACAAUGGUUUUUGACUAUCUUAACAAAAUGAGAUUUGAAGAAUCAUAGCAGCAAAUUUGGACUGGGAGAAGAGGAACUUUUCAUGAGUUUAUAUGCAGAGACAGAGAGCCAUUCAUUCAUUAUCAUACGGGGAGAGAACUUGAAGUGCAGAAAUGUAGUUCUUUCAUUUCCUUAGUGUAGGAUAGUGUAGUAAGUGUAGUUAAUCCAUUCUUGUAUAAUAGCUAGAUUAGGAUGAAGAUGGAGAUAAAGAAGAAGGAGUUGAAGCUCAAGUGACAUGGGUUAUCUCUACUCCAAUUCUUUAUCUUUUGUAUUGGAUUCUUAACUAUGGUUAUAAUGCAAGUUCUGGAAUUUAUGUUUAUUAUUUGUUUCUAAAGUUUAUGCCUUGGGUUUGGUUGAACUUCCUAUGAUUGUUAGUGUUUAUCAUUUGGCUAUUUAACUGCUAUGAUUUGAGCAAGUUAUUUAGCACUUUAGCUCUUUAAAUCAUGAUUAAUCUGGUACCAUUAAUUAUGAUUAUCUAAGGUGUUAUUUCUACAAUGAAAAUUGAGAUUUAACAUUAGUUCAAGAAGUGCUAAACAUAGGGAAUACACUCACGAGAGUAGAGGUGCACCUAUGGGGUUUUGGUGAUUUAUUUCAUGUAAUUUCAUUGAAGAAAUGAACUUGUAACUAAUUUCAUAACCAUGAGAAUAGGUAUGGAUUGGUUAUUAGUAUAAUUGAUUCACUACGAAAGUAGGAUUCAAAUGCAUAAGGAAAUUACACCAUAACUAGCCUAGAUGUAGUACUCAAUGAUCCAAAUAUAACACUUGCAUGAGUAGUUAGGGAUACCACAACCUAAGGAGCUUUUAUUUGUUAUUUUGUAUAAUUUCAGUAGGUUAAAUUUCUUAUAAUUCAUUGAUAGUCUAAAUAAUAGAGAAGCUUUAGUAAUACCGGUAAUUGUUCACUCUUCCCUAUGGGAUCGACCCGAUAUAUACCCUAAACUACUAGUUGAUCUGUAUACUUGCAGUGAACGGGUGUAAUUCGGUUUUUUAACUUGUACGUAUGUAAAAUACCCGUCAGUUGUGUAAAAAGAACACAAGUUACAGAGCAAGUUACAGCCUGAAUAUACUAAAAUGCAGGUAUAAAAUGCGGCCUAUGCCCUAGUUUUGAGCCCUCGUUUUGCUUUUUUUACAGGUUUGCCAAUUCUGGCCAGAUUUCAUUCUUGCUCUAUUUUUAGUCCAAUUUCUACUGAUAUUUAUUUGAUGAUGGAGACCGAACUAACUCUUGUACAAAACAUGAAAAUUGUAUCCCUUUGAGUUAGUUUUCCAAUGCCUUAAGAAUCAUUCAAUUUGGAGCUUUGUGGACCGCGAAAUGAUCAAAAUACCAUGACUGGUCAAUCUCUUGUUCCGCUUUUGACCAUGCAGAUGAGCUUCUGUAUGUCGACUUUUUGACAAUGAAGACAACUAAACUGGACUUCUAUUCUUCAUACCAAAUGUAGAUCUAUCUCUUAGGUCCAAAAUGGUUCAAAAAUCAUCUCAAUUUGAUCAUUGUAGCUCAAGAUAUUGCCAAAAUACUACAAUAUGUCAAAGCUGUGAAACUUGCUUCCUUUUAUUCUUGAUUGCAUUUCCUUUUUUGAAUUUUCUAUUCUCUUUUCAUCACUUUAAACUAUCAUCAAUCACCCAAUUAUCUUCUAAAACCAUGCUAUUUGAUGAUUGAAUCAUUAAACCUACAAAACAUGAAGUUUUCACCAUAAAAAUCCAUAGAAAUGUAAUUUUUACCACUUUAACCAUAAAAUGCAUUUUUCACUAGAAUUCUACUUAAUUAGCCAUAAAAGUAACUAAAACACACCAAAACUAACUAAUGAAACACACUUAAAACACGUAAAAUAUACACUUAUCACACGACCUUAAAAAUGCGACCUUAGGUCUUGUAUUCCACCCCACAUUUUCUCCUUUACAAGUUUGCACUUUUUGGGUAGAAUUUAUCCUUGCUCUGUUUUUUAUCCAACUGCAAUCAUAUUUUUCUUAAUGAUAAGGUUCACCUAGCUCUUGUACAAAACACAUCAAGAAUCAUCCAAUUUGGAGCUCUGUGGAUAGCAAAAUGACCAAAAUACCCUCAACUAGUCAGAACUCUAUUUCAACUUUCGACCAUAAAAAUGCACUUCUAUAUUUUGCCUUUUUGACAAUGAAAAUGACUGAACUGGACUUUGAUGUCCCAUAUCAAAUGUAGAUCCAUCUCUUAACUUCAAAAUGGUAUGAGAAUCACCUCAAUCCGAUGCUUAUAGCUCAAGAUAUAGUCGAAAUACGAAAAUAUAUCAAAACUGUGAAAAUUCCUUUCUUUUGUUCUUGUUUGCAUUCCAUCUUUGCACUUCAUGUCUUCUUUAAGCUAUUUCAAAUCAUCAAUAAUUAUUCAAAUAUGUUCUCAAUUCAUGCCAUUUGAUGAUUGAAUCCUUAAACCUACAAAACAUGAAGUUUUCACCAUUAAAAUCCAUAGAAAUGUAAUUUUUCACACUUAAACCACAAAAUACAUAUUUUCACUAGAAACUUAGUUAAUUAACUAUAAAAAUAGUUAAAACACAUUAAAACUAACUAAUAAAAUAUGCAAAAACAUGUAAAAUAUGCACUUAUCAGUAAGACAUUAUUGGCCAUGUACAGUCAAUUUGCAACUUAAAAAGUUUGUGGGUAAAGUCAGUUUGCAACUGAAGAAGUUGAUUAGAAGUUGAGUUUUGCUGAUAAGUACAUUGAUUCUAUUCAUUUGUUUAUUCUUUCCGAAAUUAUUAUAGUAUCCAUGACAGUGAGAUUUAUUUCACAUUCCAGUGGGAAGCGCAAAUAAUAAUUCUUAAGAAAUUCCAAGCCUAUUAUAAGCAAUUUUUUUGGUGCCAUGCUUGUGCAAGAAAUAGCCACUUUUUUUUUUUGCAAUUUUUUAGGUUAUUCUCUAAACACGGUUUUAAAUAAUUUUUAUUUUUUGUUAUUACGUUGUCGUCCAGAUAUCACAUCCACAACAUUGAAACAUAAAUAAGUUUAAGAACUUCAAUAAUUGGACUAAGUUUCUUGCUGCACUUUGCUUAUUGAUUGAACUCUAGGACCUACUUGCUACUGGAACCGAGACCUCAGCGACUACAAUAGAUGGGCCAUUUCAGAGCUACUGAAAAACCCAGAAAUAUUCUACAGGGCAGCUGAAGAACUCGAUCGUGUUAUUGGUCAGAAUCGAUGGGUGAAAGAGAAGGACAUGCCAAAUCUUCCUUACAUAUAUAGAGGCUAUUGUUAAAGAAGCAAUGCGUAUGCACCCCGUCGCAUUGCUAGCGCCAAGAUGUGCUCGCAAAGAUUGCAAAGUUGCAGGGUACGAUAUCGAAAAGGGAACUCGAGUCCUCCCCGAAUUGUGGGAGACGACAGAGGAAUUUUGCCCCGACAGAUUCACGGGAAAGGACAUUGAAUUCAAAGGGCAAGACUGUAAGUUCCGAGCAUUUGGUGCUGGAAGAAGAAUGUGCCCAGGGUACAAUUUAGGCCUCAAGGUUAUCCAAUCUAGUUUGGCCAAUCUUUUACAUGGAUACAGAUGGAAGUUGCCAAAUGACAUGAUGCCUGAGGACCUGGACAUGGAAGAAAUAUUUGGGCUCACUACACCAAGAAAGAUCCCACUUGUUGCCAUUGUUGAGCCUCGGCUUCCUCGUAAUCUUUAUUCACUGUGAUUCUCUACAUGUAUGUUUGAUCUCCCAGUAUCAUCAUUAUCAACUUGUGUUCAAAUAAAUCAGCUCUGCAAGUUUAGAAUUUGUAGCUGCGCUUAUAUGUGUUUGCCAAUUGCCACAACGCUGCAAACCCUUGUAGUUGGUGCAUGGCAUAUGCGUAAUCACUGAGAUUGUUAUGCCUAUUUAAAUCCAAAUUUGUGCACAAUUUUGUGAAACUGUGAAUAUGUACACCCCUGAUGUUCCAAAUACAAUCUAUAACAUUCUGACGCUAAUUUAAAUCUGUAAUGGCAGGUUUACAGUCAAAGCAAUGUGCUCUCUGCCAUCUUUCCUCUUAGCAUGGCCAGUGCCAGAAGUUGUUCCUACUUCCUAUGCACCUCUAAAUCAUCCCACUAGAUUGGUGCUGCUUUCCAUACUUGUUGGGAGGGAGAGAGAGAGAGGAAAGAAAAGAGGGGAGGGUGGGGUGGCUGUGGCAGUGGUGGCAAUGGGAAGGGAGGGAGGAGGAAGAGCAGCAGUGGUGUGGUGUGGGGAGGAAGAGGAAGAAGGGCGGAAAGAAAGGGAAAAAAAAAAAGGAAAGAAAAAAUAAGCAAGAUCAAAUGUCAAAAUGUCACAAAUUUAUAAUAUUACCGUUGUGCUCUUUAUAACUAUUUAACUAAAAAACCAAAACAAAAAGAGAAUUUUUAAAAGACCAAAAAAUAUAGACGAAAAAAAAAAACCAAAUUGCUAUCCAAUAUUGGUCCAUAUUUCUUUGUAUCAAGGUGGUGGUGGGAUAGUAAAAGAUAUGAGUAAAUUAAAAUCUAGUUAAAAUCAAAAAGUUAGAAGGAUUUCUUUGAAGUUAUAUUUGGCGGAUUUUUUUUUGGAAGUAACAAUAUUAUGAGGAUUUGCCUUGGGGUAAUAGCAGCUUGACUUCAAUAUUGAAGAUUGUCCGGCACAUAAAAUCCCAAGUCGUAGUCUCCAAGAUAUAUGUAUGAAGUGACGACGAGGUUCUUGAUAAAUCCAUUUAUGACAGCACCAUGUGCAACUCAUGAUAAAUUCAUAGGCUUUGAAUCUCCAUUCGGCCAUAAUUAAAUGUAAUUUUAUUUAAAAAAUACAGAUGGAUACAUAGUACGUCCAUUUGAUUAAAUAGUGAUUCAAUUUCUUACGGAUUACUUUAGGAUCUCUUCGAGCUUUUUCCCAUUAUGUAGUAGGCUAUCUUAUCGACAAAAAAAAAAAAAAAUCUCCAUUCGGCCAAAAAUCAUACUCCCUCCGUCCCAGAAAGUGUGUCGUAUUUCGGGGGAAUUGUAAUUAUUAUCAACAGUGCAAGACUUUUAAAUGAUUUGUAUUUAAGUUCCGGCAAUGUCCCUUGACUUUCAAUGUAUUCAUAACGUGGGUGAAUGAUAAAAGGGGCACAGGUUGUGAUAAGACAUACGGGACCCAAAAGAUUUAAAUGCCUCCACACUACUUUGAAAGAAAGUGUCAUGCACGAUUGCUAUUACCAUUUCACGUGAGAGUCACGAACUAUUGAGUGUAGUGUUGGUACUUGGUAAGUGAACAGAAAUGUGUCACAUUGGGCCCACUAAAAGGUAAGAAAAGGCUGUCACAUUGAAGGGUAUGGAGCGGAAAUGUGUGAAAACUUUCAUUGCCAAUUUUAGUAAGUGACAAUUAUUUUGAGACGGAUAAAAAAGAAAAGUAUGACAUUAUUAAUGGGACGGAGGGAGUAAACCCAUGGGCCAAAAAAUAGAUAAACAAGUUGAGUACUACGCUUUGUCAUGUACCGUGAUAUUAUUAUUAUUGCGAAAGAAAGUAUUCUCUAUUAUGACAGGACCAUGUGCAACUCCUGUCAGACUCAGGAGCUUUCACCUUUCCGACCGGACUCGCUGUGUCGGGCGAAGGAGAUCAGAUGUCAAAUUUCAGUUGAUUUGCGGCUGGAAGGCUAAGGAAGCUGUAGGUCCUGAAGCAAAAUUAGAUGGUUGCCAUACAACAACAAAUCUUUUUAAAGGUUUUUUUUAACUAAAUAAAAUAUUCCCUCUCAAAUUAGUUUUCUUUUUCCAAAUUUCAGUUAUGUGAGUAAAUGAAAGCUUUUACAACCAUUAGUUCUUUUAAAAUAUUUUAAAGCGUAACUGCAUGUACACAUUCUAUUAUAUUCAUUUGUCUCUUCUUCAGUUUUUAUACUCCAUCUAGGAUGUCUAAUCAUAAUUCCGUAAAAAAUUAAAAACUAUAUAUAUUUUUCUUUAUAAUUAGUCAAUUAUAAAUUGGUAAAGUUCUAAUCAAUUUCAUCCAUUAUCUAACUUGCAAGAAAGGAAUAGAUAUCUCCUAAAUACAAAGUUCAAAAGGAAUUUCUAGUCUUUUAUAAUCACGUUCACAUGAUGUUUCGGUGGAUAUCCAUUUGUCCAUUUUCCGUUAAAGAAACUUUACUUAUUACAAUCUUUUUCUUUACACUCCUCUAAAAUAGUAUGAAAUAUUACCAUAAUUCUUCACAUGUCACUAUUAAACCGAGGGUUAAGGAUUAUCGGAAAGUAAUCAUUAAAUAGUAUAUGAGUUUAUGUUUAGUGUCUUACAUUCAUUAAAUUUAUUGUUUUUUGGAAAAUUAAAGUUCGAAGAUAAAAAGAAGUUAAUGCAAAUGCACGGCUGAAUAACUGGUGGUCUAAUUCUAUUGCUUGCUUACCCACAAGAAUGACCACGCCAACACUACAUUAAUACACUCAUACUUUUGCAUUUCUUAAUUACUUGCAUUUCUUAUUCUUUCUUCCCAACAAUUCUACAGCCCAUAAUCAAUUUUAAUUCAGUAAUCUUCAUACAACUCUGAACAUAUAACUAUAUUUAAUAUAAAUUCUUGACAUACCUGCAUUUCAAUUCUCAAAAUCUUAUGGCAUGCCUUACUUUAUAAUGGUGUUUAAUUACUUAAGUUCUUAAACGAUCAAUCAUAUCAAAAUCAUAAACUUGUACCGUACAAUAGGAUGCUCUUCACAUCAUGAUCAGGAGUUUAGCAAUUAAUCUCCAUCAUGUCACAAUUAAAUUCAAUUUCAUAGCUAGGGGUGAAAUUGCAAAGCAUUUGGUUAAUCGGAUGUUUGAAGAAAUUUAAUUAAUUAAAUUUAAUAUGAAUUUAGUUCAGUCAAAUAGAUUUCGAUAUGGUCUUGGUAAAAACAAAAUUAUGAGAGUGCUUAAUUAGUUUGAAAGUAACUCUAAGUUCUCGAUUUUUUAUUUUAACUGGUAUAACACACACACACGUACAAUAUGUUACACAUGUUCACUUCACGUUAUUGUGGAUAUUUAAUAUUCUUAAUUACUACUUUCUUUUAUUCUUUUUUCCAUCAUCUCUUCACUUUCCUUCUUUCUUUUUCUUGAUCACUUGCAUUUUGUGAAAUUAUUUUUCAUGUUUCCAAUUGUUUGCUUUAAUUGGUUUUUCAUAUUUGUAAUUAUUUUUCAUUAAUAUCAAUUUCAUCCUAUUUAUGACUAACAUCUGACAGUGAUUUAUGCCUUUCCAAUUUGACAAUUAUUUGGUUAAAAAAACUUUAAAAAGAUUUGUUUUAUUGCAUUGCAAUUUUUGGGGACCAAUUAAUUUUGCUUCAGGUCCACAACUUCCUUGCUAAGCGUGUUGUGAGGGUUACACAGCGGCCUUGUUUAAAUUGUGCUUUUUUGCAAAAAAGAAUUUUACAUUUUUCGUAAAUAUAUUUUUUUCAAUUAUCUUUCUUAUCUCAUCUCAGAUGCAUCAAAUAGUUACAUUAUAUUUUUUUAUAAAGCUCCUAAAAAUAGCAAUGCAAAUGGAGCCCUUCCAGCCGCAAAUCAAUUGAGUUUUGAUGUCAUUUUCUGUGUGAAUUCCUUCUUUUGACAUGUAUCCACUUCGUAUGGUUGGAUCUUCCCGCUAUAGACCGAUCCGGUAGCAUAGUUUUUUUGCUCAAUCACUUAAGCUAUCAUGUUAGAGAUCAAUAAUCAGAGGCUUACAAACUUUCGUAAAAAUUUUCAUUUGAACAGCUAAAUAACCAAAGUCUGACGGCUAAACAAAACAAAAAGCUCAUUAUAAUUGCUGCUAUUUGUACAACUUUUCUGUGAUUAAAUAAAAUUCCCUUCCUCGUUAAAAUAAAUGAAAGAAAAUAUGAAGGAGAAAUUAAAUUGAUCUAAUUGUUUAACAAUUACUAGUAUUUCUUUUUGUGAUUUGAACUACUUCCUUUCCAUGUUUCGUACACUUAAAUCAGUGGCUUACACGUUUUCGUAUUGCACUAAUUUUCUUUUGUAAACCAAUAAUCAAAACUUAAAACUUAUUGCACUAGUAGUUAUUGAGUGACUUCCACGCCUUUGCUCAUUAUAAAUACCGGCCCCCUCCACAUUCCAAACACACUCAACCAUCUUCCUCCUUGUGCUACAAUCUGCCACCUCCAUCACCCCCACUGCUCCCACAAAAUGGAAAGCUUUUCUCCCAACUGGGCUGCGUGUGCACUCGCGUGGGUUGCAACGGUGGUUAUUAUCACCCAACUCUCGAAGCAUUUCCAUCAGAAAAAACUCAACCUCCCACCAGGUCCAAGGCAAUGGCCAAUAAUUGGAAACUUAAACCUCAUUGGCACCCUUCCUCAUCGCUCACUCCAUCA
rnacentral:lncRNA from 1 species